rnacentral:lncRNA from 1 species
UUCCACCCUCAAUGAGUUCUGGACAUAUGCGAGAUUUUGGCUCGCUCGCUCGCGCUCUCUCUCUCUCUCUUCCCAAACUGAAACCCUGACUCUAGAGGGAGAAUGGCUUCAAUUUCAUUAUCCUCACUGUCGGUACCAUUUUCGACCUUACCCAAUUCCUCCAUUAGUAAUUGCAGACCCGAGUUUUCUGUUCUCUCUUUGCCUUCCUCAAUUUCCUCAAAGUUACAUGCCCUGAAACCCUAUCGAGUUUCCCCUUCCAGAACUUUUGCUGUUCCUGAAGUUUUGGAAUCCAAUGCUGCUUCUGAGGUUUGUUUUGUUAUCGACUCAGUUAUAAUUAUGUUUGAUAAUUAUGCACUUUUCACAUGAUUGAAAUGAUUUUCUUUUUGGGUUUUCUGGGGUCUUAGGACGAGGCUCCUUCCUCUUCAGUGCCGAGUGUUGGUACAGAUUCUGAGAAAGUAACUUCUCUUUUCUUCUUAUUCACCUGCACGCUAUGUUCUUUGUAUUUGGUUAUUAAUAUUGCUUUUGCUAAAAUUAUAGUAGCAGGAUUAAUUAGUUGUUGAGUGACAUUGCGUAUCAAUUGCUGCUGUAAUUAUCUACUUUAUCCUAAUUACUAUGAGGUAGACCAGUAGAGAGAGAAUGGAGUUAUGAAAUGCAAUGGCUCCAAUUAAAACACUGUCACUUUUCAUUGAUGUCAAUGUAUUUGCCUUAACACGUUCAUAUCUAAUACUGAAUCAAUCAGUAUUCAGUGCGAAGAAUUGUCUGCUAUAGGAAUUUGGUUUCACAUGAGCUUUGUAUAUUACAUCCCAGGAGAACCUUCCGGGCCCCAUUUAGCAGGGCUUUUGAAAAGCCAAAAGCGAUUUUGAUACUAAGAAAUUGCUUUUGAACAUGGUUGAAUAGUUUUCUGAAAGUGUUUUGUGUGGUAGAGGGAAAACUGAUUCUACAAGAUGCAGAAGCAAAAAUAUCUUCAUGAUAUUUUAAAGUCUCGUAGGGAUUAUCAUCGUAUUUCCCUCUACUAUUAAAAGAGCGAAUGCUGCAAUCACUAUUCAUUUGUGAAGUAUUUUCUUUUCCUAUUUUGCCCUUGAAUGGACUGUUGAUUAAUGAGGCCAUGCAUGGAAAAAAAGGGCAAUAUGAAUAUUUCAUUCAUCUCUUUCACUUUGGGUUGGGUUGGGUUGUAAUGUACUGAAACCCUAGACUAUUCCCCGCCCCAAAAAAGGCCACAAAAAUUUUUCACUCAAAAUCCUCGUUCUGUGCUAUACAUUCACCUAAAACUCUUUGACUUCGAAGUUCUGCUAUGCGUAUCGCUCGCUGUUGGAUAGCUUGUAAAUUUUUGGGCUGGCAAAGAAGUGUAAUCUUGAAGAAGCCCAGAUGCUCGUGCAAAAACUACAUCAGUACCAAUUAGAAGGCUCGAAUUCCGUAUUUUUUUAGAGUUUGAUUUUGGCUAUGAUUAAUUGGUUAUCCGCGCUUCUGAGAUUUAUGAUACUUGAAGUAUGAGGUUGAAUAAUGGUUGAAUUUCUUGAUAUGAACUGAAACGUAAUUUAUGUUAUAUUUUUGUUUUAAAUUUUUAGAAUUUGAAUUUCCUCUUGAAUUUGUGUGGGCAGGGAUGACCAUUUUACAGCUUUUUAAUGCCGGUUCUGCUUCAGAAAAUUCUUGAUUGACAAAGCUGCUUAUUUCUGAGCCAUCCAUUUGUUUUCCACCACCCAUUUCCUUAAUGCCCCUGUUGUUUCCUUUCUCACACAAAAUUGCCUCCUCAACCUUUGGUGAAAAUCUAAAACAAAUAGAGGACAUCUCUACAGGAAAUUGUAGAGUCUCGACUCCAAGUAUAUUCUUCUCAUACAAGUUUUUUUUUUUUUUUUUUUUUUUUUUUUUUUUUUUUUUUUUUUUUUUUUGGUAUUUUAUUUAAUUUUUUUCGAACUCUAUUCUUCUAUGUUUGUUUCAAUUUUUGUGAAAGUUUCCCAAAAAUUCAGAAAACUUCAUGUUUAGUGCAGUUUAGGGUUAUAAGUGAUGGAAUUGAUGUCUCUAUGUUUAAGUUAGGUUAGAGUCCAUUGUUUCUUUUUUGGGGAUUAUAGUUAAUAUUUGUAGUUGUACAUCCAGAAUUUUUUGGUUCAUUGUUGUUUGGUUGAAAGUUUAUAGUGUUGGGCUUAUUUAUAUAUCUGCAUACGUCGUGUUUUAAUUUUUUUUUUUCCCCACUAUGAGUUCUCCUGUGCAUCAAGAAUUACAAACCUUAAAUCAAGAUUUUAUUGUUUACUGUUUACAAUUUUUUUGAUUCCGCGUUGUUUUGCUUAUUUUAUUUCUUCUAUUUAUAUGGAAAAAGAAGGAAAAAAUGUUCAAGGAUUUUGAUUAGUUUAUAAAUAUCUGAUUUCUUGUUUUUCGCUUCUAUGACCAUUGAUUAUUCUAUUAUUAUUUACUUUAAUGGGUGUAAGACUCAUUACAGAUUUUUUAGCAUAUUUUUUAAUUUUUUUACUAAAUUUAUGUGCAAAUAAAAUGAGAAAUUAUUUAAAUGGAAGUCUCCUAAUUUUCAUGCAAUGCCAUUUUGUUAGUGUGCAUUAGUCCUAUGCAAUUAUUCAAGUGAGUAAAUUAUUGAUGGAAGUGUGUACCUUUAACGUGCUUGAACUUCCAGUAUAUGCUGUUUAGUUUUUAUUCACUUUUUCAUUCUUCAUGGAUAAUUUAUUUAUUUAUUAUUAUUAUUUUUAUUAUUAUUAUUAUUAUUAAUUUUUUUUCCCAUUUUGCUAGACAUCUAGCCAUACUUAUGCUGAGGUGCAAAAUGUAUUCCAACUAUAGUUUUUCUUGUGAAAAGAAAUUUAAUAACACCACUUCUCCUAGGAUGUCUUAAAUAUAUAAUAUGUAGAAAUAGAAUUGUAUCUUGAUGUGAAACUUUCGAAUUAUAUUGUAAUUUAGGCAACAUUCUUUCUUUUAUACAGAUGUUUGCAUUGAAAUUUUGUGAUAGAGUUUCUUGUCAAUCCUUGACAUUUUUAAGACGUUAACAUUACCUUCAAAAUAACACAUCACGUGCAUUGCACGGCAAAAAACUAGUAUCUUUAAAAUUUGAAAUAAGGUUGGUGUACUGUCUAUUACAGAUUGAACACGUGCUUAAUGCAUUAUAUUAUUGAUCUACAAAUUGUGUAUAUUAUUUUAAUACUUUCACACACAUGUAUAUUUAAAUUAUUAGGAUGAAAUGGAAUUAGACAAGGGUGUGAGGAAGACAGAGGAGUCAUUGAAUGAUAUAGAGUGCUUGACGGCAUGUCUCGUAUAAUGUCCACAAAUUUGUGAACUAGGAUCAACUUACUAUGCGAACCAACAAUGCAUUUCUCUACCAGGGCAUGAUCGUAUACCAAUGGAGGUCGAAGAUAGGUCUCAUAAGGUCUAAAAAUAAUUGGGGUUAAAGGCUAUCAAUCUCCACACAGAUCAAUCCAAUGGAAGGAAGAUAAGGCAUACAAAUAAUUGGGUUAAAGGUGCCCCUCAUGGGGUGGUUGAGUUGAUAGAGUAGGUGAGCGCGGAAACCUUUGGUCACGAGUUCGAUUUUCCCCGCCAACACUUUCUCGAUCUAGCUUGUCGAAUCGAACUUGCCUAGUGUGGUGUACCUGGCUGUCACGAUUUACCAAUGGAGGUCGAAGAUAGGUCUCAUAAGGCCUAAAAAUAAUUAGGGUUAAAGGCUAUCAAUCUCCACAAAAAUCAAUCCAAUGGAGGUAGAAGAUAUGGCAUACAAAUAAUUGGGUUAAAGGCUAUCAAUUUCCACACAAAUCAAUUAUUAAGCCGUUUGAUUAUCUUUUCAUUGUAUUCACUUCAUUAUUAGCGCAUGUUGGCACUCAGUUUAUAUCCAUUCAUGGUUGGUCCCAUAAGUUUUAAUGUUUUGAUGUUCCUUUCAUUUUGUUCCAUGCAUACUGAUAUUCCUAUGAAUUUGGCAUGUCCAAAUAAUUGAGUGCUAUAUUUUUACAUUUUCUUGUUGGAUAUUGAAGAAUUUGCGCACUUUUGUUCGGGAAAUAUCUGUAUUUAGAUUGAAUUUUGGUCCAUCUGAUACUUAGAUCAAAGUUUUAGCUGAUGAGAUUCCAUAAUAUAGUCCUAUUGUAAAUUGCUGUAAAAAUCUUACGCAUUAAGCCCUUGUUUCGUAAAAUUUAAAACUCGUCAAAGUCAACAAUUAAUUUUAUCUACACAUUUUAUAGGACACACAACUUUUCAACAACACAUUUCAUUAACUUUUAUAAUAAUCUGCUAAAAAUUUGAUUUUAAUACCUAUCAAAUAGGGGAUAAAUAUUUAUUGUGGUAAAAUUACCAAAAUAUCUCCCCAUAGCUACAAAAAUCACAUUUCUUCAAUUUCAUUUGCCAAGUUUUGAUUAUAAAUAUGGCAUCGAAACUAUUCUUCAAGAAAACCAAUCUCAAGAAUUUUAUGCAAAUUCCUCUUGCUCUCUAGAAAUAAGAAUGACUACUUUACUUUGUCUUACUUUUCUCCUCUUUCCCUUGAGUCUGUCAAGGUAAAUAAUGUUAGCUAAAGCUGCUGAGAUUGACUUCAUCAUUUACUUGAUAUUCAAACACAAUACAAGAUUUUACACCUUGAUUAUCACACUGAAAUCCAACGUCUACAAAUAGCAAAGAAAUAAUCACACAUGGAUCACAUCUGCCCAUCAAUUUAUUUUAUAAUGAGAUGAUAACAGUAGGUCGAGUACACACAAUUUAAUCAUCGUCAAUCCAUGCAAGAUCAACGUUUGACAUCCAGUGACAUGCCUCACCUUUUCCAGGGGAGAAUUUCAAUAUCUUAGAAGCUACAUGAUUCUCAAGCCAUGUCGAGAUAUCCAUGUGACAAAUUGAGAUCACGAUUUUAACUGGGAGUCGAGUUUUGGCUUCAACCAUGUCUACAGCAUAGAGUCGAGAUGAUAGGAUUGAGUGACAGAAAUAGGCUGCAAAUGGAGGAUAAACUUCAUGACAGACAAUUAUUUUCUGCCUAUCAAAUUUCUUGAUUUUUUUUUAUCAUAAAAUCCCCUGUUUUUGUGCUUUGUGAAGCCAGUGCAAGUGACUUCUUGUUGCCUAAGGCGAAUUUUGAAAAACUAAUCAUUUCUCCAAGGGAUUUUGUGCAAUUCUUGAUUCCUCCAUUUAUAACUUCUGCAUUACAAUAAAAAAGGGUAGUUUCAAUGGAAUUUUUCAAUAGUUUAAAGGACUUGAGAAAUAUUUUUCUGAUGUUUUUUCUGUUGAUAGAAAUUUUUGAAGCUAUUUCUUGAGGGAGAAAUGCGCAAUUCGAAUAUUAAUUUCUGAAUCUAGGGCCUGAAGAAAGAAAAAUUGUCUAUCUUAGUGGGUUGAAUAGUUGAUGCAUACUUAUUGUAUACUUUGACCAGUUUGUAUACUUUGGUCAGUUCCAGGAAUUUUUCAUAUUCAAAUGAGCAAGUGAGUUUUGCUAUUGAGCAAAAACUGGAAUUUUCUGAGAAUUCAUUUUUGGACAUCAUUUUAAUGUAAUAAUUCCGAUCCUUUUUUGUUAAUGGGGAUAGCUUUUUGAAAACAGAUUUAAACAUUUGGUUUUACACAUUUUCUGACCAGAACUUGAUAUGGUCGAAAGCGAUGGAUGAUAUACGGACUUGAGUUGACACAAAAGAAGUGAAGUAAAGACAAAAGAUCAAGAGAAAGAGGAGAAAAGUAGCCUUUUUUUUAUGACGAGGGAACUAGCGGAAUUGAGUGUAAUGCUAGAAACCCAAGAAAGUGUUUCCAAUCUAUGUAAUUGUUUAAUCUGAAAAGCAUGGCGUUAAAAUGAGUAAAGGCUAAUGGAAAACUUUGAGGAAGUGGUAGACGGAGGAUUUUGAGUCUACAAAUCUCAUUGGAUCUCUAUCAAAUGCGAGGAAUUCAUAUAUUUCUUCUAUUGUCGGAAAAGUUUUGUGAACUUUUCAAGAGUAUUUGCAUUUAGGCCAUCUCCAUUGCUAAGGGCAUCCUUGAUUUCUUUGUGCAAAACGCCAAGUGAUUUGAGUACAAUUGCUGUGGUUUGGGACUUUAUGGUGUCGAGAAUGAAAAUCUGGGAAGCUGGACCGAAUCUAUCCCUUAUCCUGGUUGUUGAAUUAAUGUCUUGUCAAGGAGAUUUUCGAUUGAUGGCAACAUAUCCAAAGAGAGCUUCAACAAGAUGGCCAUUGUUGACCUCGCAAAUUGGACUUCCACGUGGUCAACCAAGAGCCACUCCACGUGUUCCUCCCUGCACACAACAACAUAUGGUCAGGAGCACACUGUCGGAACCAACGAGGGUGGUGGCAAUCAAAUACACUCCGACGGUCAAGUCAGUGGUCGAUGAUCGGAACGAUACCGAAAUCGUGCAAGAGAGUGAGGAGAAUAUGAUGCUUGAAGCUUGUGAACUAAGAUCAACUUACUAUGCGGACCAACAAUGCAUUUCUCUACCAGGGCAUGAUCGCAUACCAAUGGAGGUCGAAGAUUGGUCUCAUAAGGCCUAAAAAUAAUUGGGGUUAAAGGCUAUCUAUCUCCACACAAAUCAAUCCAAUGGAGGUAGAAGAUAAGGCAUACAAAUAAUUGGAAUAAAGGCGUCCCUCAUGGGAUGAUCGAGUUGGUGGAGUAGGUGAGCGCGGAGGCCGUUGGUCACAAGUUCGAUUCUCCCCACCAACACUUUUUUGAGUCGCACCAGACUUGUCUAGUGCAGUUUACCUGUCUGGCACGAUUUACCAAUGGAGGUUGAAGAUAGGUCUCAUAAAGCCUAAAAAUAAUUAGGGUUAAAGGCUAUCAAUCUCCACACAAAUCAAUCCAAUGGAGGUAGAAGAUAGGGCAUACAAAUAAUUGGGUUAAAGGCUAUCAAAUUUCACACAAAUCAAUUAUUAAGCCGUUUGCUUAUCCUUUUAUUGUAUUCACUUCAUUAUUAGUGCAUGUUGGCACCCAUAAAUUUUAAUGUUUUGAUGUUCCUUUCAUUUUGUCCCAUGCAUAUUGAUAUUCCUAUGAAUUUGGCAUGUCCAAAUAAUUCAGUGCUACAUUUUUACAUUUUUUUUUUUUUUGGAUAUUGAAGAAUUUGCGCACUCUUGUUCGAGAAAUCUUUGUAUUUAGAUUGAAUUUUGGUCCAUCUGAUAAUUAGAUCAAGGUUUUAGAUGAUGAGGUUCCAUAAUACAGUCCUACUGUAAAUUGCUAUAAAAAUCUUAUUCAUUAAACCCUUGUUUCGUAAAAUUUAAAACUCGUCAAAGCCAACAAUUAAUUUUAUCCACACAUUUUAUGGGACCCACCAUUUUUCAACCACACAUUUCAUUAACUCUUAUCAAAUUCUGCUAAAAAAUUGAUUUUAAUGCCCACCAAAUAGGGGCUAAAUAUUUAUUGUGGUAAAAUUACCAAAAUAUCCCCCAUAGCCACAAAAAUCACAUUUCUUCAAUUUCACUUGCCAAGUUUUGAUUUUAAAUAUGGCCUUGAAACUAUCCUUCAUGUAAAUAUCUUGAGGAUUUUAUCUGAAUUCCUCUUGCUCUCUAAAAAUAAGAAUGGCUACUUUUUUUUUGCCCUUCAUGGAGUGGUCGAGUUGGUGGAGUAAGUGAGCGCGGAAACCUUUGAUCAUGAGUUCGAUUUUCUCUACCAACACUUUCUCGGUCGAGCCUGUCACACAGGACUUGCCUAGUGCGAUUUACUUGGCUAGCGUUAGCUAUUGCGUCAGUUCAAGGGUUUAUUCAGUGCACACCCGAAAGGUAGCGGUUGCGGGUUCCUCCGUCAUAAAAAUAAAAUAAUAAUAAAAAUAAAAAAUGGCUACUUUACGUUGUCUUACUUUUCUCCUCUUUCACUUGAUCUUUUAUCUUUACUUCACUUCUUUUGCGUCGACUCAAGUCCCUACAUCAUCCAUCACUUCCGAUCAGAUCAAGUUCUGGUCAGAAAAUGUGCAAAACCAAAUGUUAGAAUCUGUUUUCAAAAAGCUAUCCCCAUUAACAAAAAAUGAUUGGGAUUAUUACACUAAAAUGAUGACCAAAAAUGAAUUCUCAGAAAAUCCCAAUUUUUGCUCAAUAGCAAAACUGUCUUGCUCAUCUGAAUAUGAAAAUUUCCUAGAACUGGCCAAAGUAUACAAAAUGGUCAAAGCAUACAAUAAGUAUGCAUCAACUAUUCAACCCACUAGCGUAGACAAUUUUUCUUUCUUCAGGCUCUAAAUCCUUAGAGAAUGAAAUAUAUUCCAUAUCCUAGAUUCAGAAAUUAAUAUUCCGAAUCGAGCAUUUCUCCCUCAAGAAAUAGCUUCAAAAAUUUCUAUCAGCAGAAGAAACAUCAGAAAAAUAUUUCCCAAAUCCUUUAAACUACCGAAAAAUUCCGUUGAAACUACCUUUUUUUAUUGUAAUGCAAAAGUUAUAAAUGGAGGAAUCAAGAAUUACACAAAAUACCUUGAAGAAAUGAUUAGUUUUUCAAAAUUCACCUUAGACAACAAGAAGUUACUUGCACUAGCUUCACAAAGCACAAAAACUGGGGAUUUUAUGAUAAAAAAGAUCAAGAAAUUUGAUAGGCAGAAAACAAUUGUUUGUCAUGAAGUUUAUCUUUCAUUUGCAGCCUAUUUCUACCACUCAAUCCCAUCAUCUCGACUCUAUGCUGUAGACUUGGUUGAAGCCAAAACUCGACUUCCAAUUAAAACCGUGAUCUCAAUUUGUCACAUGGAUACCUCGGCAUGGACUGAGAAUCAUGUAACUUCUAAGAUACUGAAAUUCUCCCCUGGAGAAGGCGAGGCAUGCCACUGGAUGUCGAACGUUGAUCUUGCAUGGAUGGCGAUGAUUAGAUUGUGUGUACUCGACCUACUGCUAUCAUCUCAUUAUAAAAUAAAUUGAUGGGCGGAGAUGAUCCAUGUGUGAUUAUUUCUUUGCUAUUUGUAUAUGUUGAAUUUCAGUGUGAUAAUCAAGGUGUAAAAUCUUGUAUUGUGUUUGAAUAUCAAGUAAAUGAUGAAGUCAAUCUCAGUAGCUUUGGCUAACAUUAUUUAUCUUGACAGACUCAAGGGAAAGAGGAGAAAAGUAAGAAAAUGUAAAGUAGUCAUUCUUAUUUCUAGAGAGCAAGAGGAAUUUGCAUAAAAUCCUCAAGAUAGGUUUCCCUGAAGAAUAGUUUCGAGGCCAUAUUUAUAAUCAAAACUUGGCAAGUGAAAUUGAAGAAAUGUGAUUUUUGUAGCUAUGGGGGGGAUAUUUUGGUAAUUUACCACAAUAAAUAUUUAGCCCCUAUUUGGUGGGCAUUAAAAUCAAUUUUUAGCAGAUUUUAAUAAAAGUUAAUAAAAUGUGUUGUUGAAAAGUUGUGGAUCCCAUAAAAUGUGGGGAUAAUGUUAAUUGUUGACUUUGACGAGUUUUAAAUUUACGAAAUAGGGGCUUAAUGCGUAAAAUUUUUACAGCAAUUUACAGUAGGACUGUAUUAUGAGACCUCAUCAUCUAAAACCUUGAUUUAAUUAUCCGAUGGACCAAAAUUCAAGCUAAAUACAGAGAUUUCUUGAACAAAGAUGCGCAAAUUCUUCAAUAUCCAACAAGAAAAUGUAGCACUUAAUUAUUUGGACAUGCCAAAUUCAUAGGAAUAUCAGUAUGCAUGGGACAAAAUGAAAGGAACAUUAAAACUUAUGGGACCAACCAUAAAUGGAUAUAAACUGAGUGCCAACAUGCGCUAAUAAUGAAGUGAAUACAAUAAAAAGAUGAGCAAAUGGCUUAAUAAUUGAUUUGUGUGGAAAUUGAUAGCAUUUAACCCAAUUAUUUGUAUGCCCUAUCUUCUACCUCCAUUGGAUUGAUUUUUGUGGAGAUUGAUAGCCUUUAACCCUAAUUAUUUUUAGACCUUAUGAGACCUAUCUUCGACCUCCAUUGGUAAAUUGUGCUAGCCAGGUAAAUCGCACUAGGCAAGUUCGGUGCGACAGGUCGAUCGAGAAAGUGUUGGUAGGGAGAAUCGAACUUGUGACCAAAGGCCUCCGCGUUCACCUACUCUAACUCAACCACCCCACGAGGGGCGCCUUUAACCUAAUUAUUUGUAUGCUCUUCACUCCAUUGGAUUGAUUUGUGUGGAGAUUGAUAGCAUUUAAUUCCAAUUAUUUUUGGGCCUUGUGAGACCUAUCUUCGACCUCCAUUGGCAUGCGAUCAUGCCCUGGUAGAGAGAUGCAUUUUUGGUCCGCAUAGUAAGUUGAUCUUAGUUCACAAAUUUGUGGACAUUAUACAAGACAUGCCGUCAAGCACUCUAUAUCAUUUAGUGACUCCUCCGUCUCCCUCACACCCUUGUCUAAUUCCAUUUCAUCCUAAUAAUUUAAAUAUACAUAUGUGUGUGUGAAAGUAUUAAAAUAAUAUACACAAUUUGUAGAUCAAUAAUAUAAUGCAUUAAGCGCGUGUUCAAUCUAUAAUAGACAGUACACCAACCUUAUUUCAACUUUUAAAGAUAAAUACGUAUUGAAAUUUUGAGGUAAUAUGGUACUAUGUACAUUUUAUAAAUAUUAUUUAGAAAAAAUGCAAAAUAAUUNNNNNNNNNNNNNNNNNNNNNNNNNNNNNNNNNNNNNNNNNNNNNNNNNNNNNNNNNNNNNNNNNNUUGAAUUAUAACAUUGUAUAUUAUUAUUAUUAGGUGGCCACGGUUGUCACAUUACGUUACUAUAAUAUUUUGCAAAAUGGACCACAAGUCCUUUUCACACUAUUGAAUUCUAUUAAAGCAUCCAAUCAGAAUUUAAACACCUUUCCUUUACUUCAUAAGCGUGGUAAGUAUGGUAAAAUUGCGUGGGUUGCAGGUGUUGACGGGGAUGAGUGAGUAAUAGUUGGUUGGAGGAGGUGAUUUACUAAUAUUAUUUUUUUAAAUUUUUUCUAGUUGUUAAUAUGUAUUUGAUUGUUUUAAUUGAGACACUUUUUAAAAAGUUAUGUGAUUUGAAUUGCAAUUUUUCUUAUUUUUUGUGUGGAAAUUGAUAACCUUUAAUCCAAUUAUUUGUAUGCCUUACCUUCUACCUCCAUUGGAUUGAUUUGUGUAGAGAUUGAUAGCCUCUAACCCCAAUUUUUUUUUAGGCUUUAUGAGACCUAUUUUCGACCUCCAUUGGUAUGCGAUCAUGCCCUGAUAGAGAAAUGCGUUGUCGGUCCGCAUAGUAAGUUGAUCUUCUAAAUUUUAACGAACAAGUUGAUCAACAAACAAUCAGUCUCCAACUAUGAAAAUCGUUUAAAUUAUAAUUAAAUCAUUAUGAAAAUUAGCCUCACUUCAAAUUUGUAGGCCCAGCCUACGUGAUGAUUUAACAAAUAUUUUGGCCUUUUUUAUUUCAUUAGUUGACACGCACGUUGCAUUUAUAAAAUUGGAACAAUGAGUGACUUAGGCUAUUAUAUAGUAGAAAUGUGCUACAUGUAUAGAAAUUUUCCUCACAAAAAUCUUACAGACAAGACAUAGCAGGGCGUGGGUGGUUUAUUUUUUGCAAUAAAAUAUUCACAUGGGUCCCACCCCAUGUAAAAUUUCUGUGAGGCUUUUGUAAGGGAGAUUUUCGUAUCUUCAGUUUUUAUUGUAUAUAGUAAAUGUGUAUGGAUAUGGUGAUAGAAGAAUUAUGAAUGAUUCACACAUAUAUCUCACGCGGAAUAAUUAUGGCAUACCUUAAAUAAGAACCUCAAGUUGGAAAUAACAGAUGGAUGAUUUUUGUACUGAAAGGAGCACGCAUAUAGAAACGGCAACAGAGAAAAGGUUUUGGGAACAUGAGAUAAAUGCUUUUCUUCCGAUAAUUCUUUUUAUCAAUCAAGGUAGAAUUACGAGGUGCAAGUGGUUGGUCCCGUUUGAUUUAUUUCUUCAUGUUAAUAAAUAUUAUGUUAAUCAAAGUUAUGGUAUGAUAUGGUAUGACCAUCCAAUACCAAAGAUAUGAUAUGUAUUGAAUUCUUAUCGAUUUCUAAAUAUAUAAUAAUGGUAUGAUAUUUUUGACACAUGAUUUAAUAUUUUUAUUUGGGACUGUACCGUUAUUCGUUUUCUACUGAGUAUUUCCGUGUACUCACAAUUUCUCCUACCCCUCAUAGGUUAUAAUGGGUCGUUGGUUGGUGGGUGAUGAGGUGUAGUCGUAGUUCCAGAAUUUGUGGAACUCAAUAAAUUAAAUCGGAUUUAUUUUAGUUUAUUUAUUAUGUGAAAUUUCGUCAUUUCGGAUUUGAAACAAAUUUAUUUGGUCAUGUUUUCCUAUAAUUUUCAUUUAAUGGCAGAACAAUAAAAAAUUUCACUUUAUGAUGUUCGAUGUGUUUAUUUAAUUAUUGAAUGGAAUUUUAGUAAUGAUUUAGAUGUUUAAAAUUUGGGUCUUACAAAAUGGUAUCAGAGUCCAGUGUUCUAAAAUUAAUUCUGUAGACUUUAAAAAAUAUAUAUAUUAUAACAAGAAAAGUUUUGCAAUUUUCAAGAUGUAGUUUUAAGUAUUUAUUUUAUUAUUAAUUAUCAAAAAUAAAUUUUUUUUUACUAAAAGUUAAGUUUUGCAAGAGUAUUUUUGAUAUAUUAUUUGAUCAAAAUUUUUGGAUUUUAUUUAGGGAAUGUGCUAUUUUUAAUUAAAUAUGGAAAGUGGGUGGACAAAUUUCCUAGAAUAUUGAUUUAACCGAAAAGAUCACACGUUUCCUUCAAAAAAAAAUGUGGUUAGUUAUCUUGAAAUUGUGAUUUUAAAACUUGAGACUUUUUUUGACCUCCACAUUGAUUUAUAUGUUUUUGUAGCAAAAUAAAAGAACCCAACUUUAGCACUAGAAAAUAAUUGACAGAAUCUUUGACCUACACACACAUUUGGAGGUGGGGCCAUUUCUUCCGUCCAAUUGUUUAUUCAUGUGGGGCUUGACGAUUGUUAGAGGAGGUCAGAUCAUCUAUCAUCCAUUUUUCUAGCACUUCAGUAAAAUUCAAAAUAUAAGUUACUCUAUCUUAUAGAAGAUCUUAUAGUUAUUCUCCAUUUUCAUAUAUUUCCCCCAUUCUACCUUCUUCGAAACUUUAUUCUCACUACAGUUUUAUUAAUGAGAUAGAGGUUUAAAGUUUAAAAGAAAUUAUUCAAUUUAAAGGUAUGGUUAGCAUUUAAGAUUUUUAUUCUCCAAUGUCACAUAAUUUUGAAAUGACUGUACUUAUAAACAUUAUAUUCUUUAUAACAUGUUAAUGGAUUUGUACAUGUUGACUUUCUUUCAAUUUUUAUUUUUAAAGAUGAUAUUAAAAAAUAAAUAAAUAAUUCUCAUAGAUGUAAUAUGUGGUGUCAUAUAUUUAUUUGCAUUAAUUGAAUUUUAUAGGUUUAUUAAUGAAUAUACCUUGAAAUAAAAAUUGUAUGCGAAUUUGUUUUUAAAUAUAAUGUAAAAUAGGAUUAUGUUCUUUUAAUUAUUUAGGAUUUGAUAUCAUAUAUAUUAAGAUAACGCUUUCCAAAUUUGAGACAAUUUUUACUAUAGUCAGUUAAAUAUUAAUUAUUAGCAUAGUAUUUGUCAAUUAUCUUCAAAACCUUCAAGUUGUUAUGUUAAGUUCUUUAGAGAUUAAAAUAUUAUUGCUAGUAUUUUACUUUAAAAAAAUAAAAAAUAAAAAGUUUGCGUUCACGUCACUGUUCACCCGAACGGUGAUACUGUUCACGUGAGAAAUUUUGUUUUUUUGACUGUUUUUUUCAAAUGAUUGUUUCAAACGAUUGUCAUAUAAUUAGUUUAUAUGAGAAUUAGAUUAAUUUAAAUUGUCAAUGUAUUAAAUGUGCGUGUAGCUAAUCUUUACGUGCUAUUAAUAAUUUUUUUGAUAUAAAUUUAAAUAUAUGGUGUAAUAUAUAUAUUUUAUUUAAGUUCUAAAACGUGUGAGAAUUGAAGAAUCCUUGGCACUCGACAACCACUUGUCAAUCACCCACGACGCUCUAAGGUACGUAAUGUGGGUAAGAAAAUAAAUGAUCAUUCAAAUAUUUUGUGUAACUAUUGCCUAAACAUAGAUUAAUGAUAUGUACAUUUUUUUCCUUGUCGAGAACUUUUCAAUUAUUCAAGACAAUUUUCAAUGACGAAAAUAUUUUAAAGAGUGGAGAUUAUAACGCCCUGAAAAUUUUGGAAUAAAAAUGUAUUUGUUUUAUAUAUUACAUUUUUAUAUUUUGAAAAAAAAACGAGGAUUUGGGUCAAAUAUUUAAAUAUUUAUAGAGUAAUGAUAAAUAUAUCAAUAUUGGACUCAUUGGAUAGCUCGUAAUUAACUAUGUAUAUUAGGCUCGAGAAAAAAUUGAUUUGAAUAAGUUGAACUCAAGAUAUUGAAGUUUGUAGACUUGUCACUUUUUAGUAGUUGUUUAUGAUUUUAUUUUUGAAUUUAUGAUGGAUGCCAACGUGUAAAUUAGAUAGGGAAGAUAAAGUAGCUUCUUUCCUUCCUUUUUAUUUUAUUUUUUAUUUUAUGACAUAUAUAAUAUAUAAUGGACACUUUCUUGAUAUAGUACACCACAGUCCAAUUUACACCUAAUGAAAUCAUCAAUGAACACCCAUAAUGCAUCAUUUUUUUUUUUUUUUUAACGAGGUGUCCUAGUUUGCGCCAGACUAUAUCAUCGUCCCUGAACCUCCAGCCCCUCAACAGCUCAGGGAGGUAAAUCGCGGGAUGUGCCCUUGUUGGUUCUCAGGUUCCCACACGAUUUUUACUCCUUCCCCAAAGGGAACCUUCCUCCAUAGUGAUUAAUUCACCAAUAAUUCCUCCUUUAUUGGAUCAAAGGUUCCCACUAGGAAUGAACUCCCCACGCUUGGUUCCAGAACCCUCCAAUGUGAUUGUUCCGCCAACUUGGAUGUGCUCCGGGGGGUCCCAUAAUGCAUCAUUUUGAAUCUAUGUACAAAUGCUAAAGUGUGCCUUCCCUUAUAUGUCAUACCUUUGGUGCAGCCAAUUUUGACUGUCGGUCACCCUUGGCUCCAUUACAAACCUAAAGCAAUGAACCUUUUUUUGAGGAAAUCAUGAACAUCACAGAGUGGAAAAUGGCACAAAUUAAAAACUUGCCUAAGAUAUGAGAAGAUGAAACACUCACCAUCUUUCCAGAAGAAAAUAUUAGGGCUGUUGUUUUUGGUUCUCUAAUCCUCAUAAUCACUGCAGUGAAACGCUGAAAACUCAUGACAUGUAAGAUCCACCAUACAUGGUUUUCAAAGAGAAAUUAGAGAGAAAAAUUAAGUGCUAAUAAGUAUUGUAAACAAAGCUAUGCUUGAUUUCAUUUAGAUUCAUUGAUGAUACUUCAUACAUUAUGCUGGGAUUUUUCUCAAGAUAGAUGAAUCACAAUAAUCAUAAGGAACCAAUGAGCAAGUCAUAAAAAUCAUUGGUAUGUAUAGCUCAAUUAGCUUCCAGAAAUCAUUUUUAGGGCUGGACAAAACUCCCGAAUCGAACCAGAACAGAACCAAGCCGAACCCGAUGGUUUUUCUCAAGUUAAAUACCCGAACGGGUAUUUGAAUCGAGAACUGAUGGGUAUGGUUCAAUUCUCGAUUUUAGGCCAAGACCCGAAGAAUCGAAUCUCCCUAAUUUUUUUAAUUAAUUUAUUUUAAAUAAGCAAAAUUGUUUUAUUUUUUCUAAAUAAAUUUAUUAACUAGUUAAUUUAGUUCAAACAAAAAAAUAUGAUUUUCCUAUUUUUAAUUUUCAGUUCAAAGUCAACUUAAUCAAACUGACAUCAAUCUUAUCCAAAUCUGUUACUCUACUGUAGUGUCACUUCUAUUGGAGAAAAUCGAAUUGAAGCUCUAAAACGUCUCUCUUAAUUAUUUUGAGCUCGUUAUCUUUCUCUUCCUGUGAUUUUAAUAAUCAAAUUUAUGAAAAAUUCAGCAAAGAGAGACGUAAAAAACACAUAAAAUUGGACUAUAUUAUUUUGUAAGAACUGAGAUUGAACAUAUCAUUAAUUAAAUUAAUGUAACUUUGCAUAUAUUAAAAAAUUUAAUUAUAAUACGGUCUGAAUGGAACCGAAUCGGACCGAACCGAACCAAACCCGAACGGUUCCAUAACUAAAUUUGGACCCGACGAUUCUACUUACUAAAUAUCAAAAAUUUCGAAUACAUUUCGAUUUUUGUUGAAAGCGAACUGAAUCGGAUCAUGUCCAAACCUACUUUGAGGCUUUAGCUAAUGUAUUCUCUCCUUUUGCAACAAUUGUCUUGCAAUAUAGCAACAAUCUUGCUACGGUUAUAGACUUAAUGCCAGAAGAAACACGUGUAAAUAUAUAAUUAGACAAUUUAGAAUAAAAAUCCAAUCAUUGUAUGUCACACCACCCUAUCCCCUCAAUCUAUCAUUCUCUGUCCUAGGAGCAUUAUUCCACUAGCAAAGAGAUAAAUCAUGUUAUUAAACUAACAGUUCAAUCAGAUGAUUACGUGCACGUAUUUUCCAUAUGCAAGAAACUAUUGACCUACCAACAACUAAUUGCUUUGAACUUGCCAACAUUUGUCUCAUCGUCUCGUCAUAAAACACUGUGCUCAUGACCUCUGAACACUUUCAAGUAAAAGCACACAGUUGAAAGAAAUGCGGAUUAAUUUCUUGUGAAAUCGAAAUAUUUAUACAAAAUUCUAGAAAUACUCAAGAAAAUGUUACAAGUCGUGGAGGCGGAGCCAAGGGGAUGGGAGGUGACGAUUACCCUCUCAACAUUUUGAAAAUUUUCCGCAUGGAAAUUUUGUAAAAAAAUCUAAAACUUGUUUGUCUCUAUUUUUAAAAGGAAAAAUAGUCAUAGUAUCAAACGUUUCACUUUUAUGCGGACUCGAUCCAGAUCUUUAAUUUGUGACGCUCAUGAUACAAAACUUUUCUAAAAUUCACGUAUGGAGUCCAAAUUAAUAGUAUCCGUUAGUUUUUCUUUUGGUUGACCAAAAAUAAAAUAAAAAAUCUAACAAAAUGUAAUUAAUUUUUAAAGGGUAAAAGAUAACUUUAUAUAUAUAUAUAUAUAAAAGAAAACCACUAUUAUCUUCUCCGCUCACCCCACAACACCCCCAUCCCCCAUAACCAAAAACCACCAAAACUGUCGGCACCCACCAAGCCUCAACGCCACCAAAAUCGCCGGCGAGUAUCUAUGUUAAGAAACCAUCUUCUCUAGUGAAUCCAUAUCCCCGACUUCUGAGACGGUGUGUAGCCUCAGCUUUUCAGCGUCUUAACUGAAGAGAUUAAAAAAACCAGAUCAAAAUUUAGAAACGUGGCGAAGCGUUGACUAAUGCAACGAGUCGUCAUUGGUAAUUAAGAAGGAAGAGAACUCGGAAAUUACGGCAAAGACCGUCACCAAGGAUUUGGUGGUUCCAACCUCCGAGAUGGAUAUUUAUGCUGGGAGGAGUUUGUUUUUAUCGCCUCCCGCAAGCUCACUUCUCCACCGGCGUUCUGCAAAAAGAAAAGCCUCCACAGUAAAAGCAAUAAUUUCAUCAUUGAUUUUAGAAGGCUCCUCAGGCUCGAUCUUGAUUGACUCUGAUUCAGCUAAAGUACGAACCUUUGUUUUAUUGCUUAGAUUUCGUGGCUCCGAUCUGGCUAAAGAAUUUCCCUUAUUUGGAUUGAAUCGGCGGGUCGGGUAGGAUGCAAGUGAUUAUUGCUAGGGUGGAAUCCGACUGGUACUAUUACUCAAUGACAACAGUUGUGAUGUUGUAUUGCCUGGGAUGUUCGUGUAGUGGUUGAAGUUAUUGUUUGGGGUCAGCCUUUGUUCUAACAAUUUCAAAUUUAUUUUAUAUGGUAGUAUUUAGAUGAUAAAUAUAUAAAAUUAGUUUAGGUUAUGUGUGUCUAUUGUAGUGCCAUGAGUAGCCAAAAUGCAAUCAGCAAUAUGAAAAAAUUAUAGAAUUAAGCUGAGUGCACUCAUGUUGCUCCACGAUUAUUUUAAUAGUGGAGUCCACUUGUUUGAUGUGAGAGUACUAUAAAAAAAUAAUGUAAAAAGUACAGUACUUGUAAUACAAUUGAAAAUUAUAAGGCCCUGUCUAAUAGGGUUUUUUUUUCCAUGAAAAUGGAAAAAAAAUUUCCAUUUCCACCCAAAAAUUCGUAUUUGAUGGCAAAAAAUUCUAUGAAAACAUUUUUUAUUUCUCCCCCAUGUGCCUUGACUUUCUUGGUUUUGAAAGAAUUCCAAUUCCUUGGAUUUUGUUGAGAAAAUGGGUUUUCCAACUUUAUUUUUUAUUUUUAUUAUUAUUUUUGACAGUGAAAACAAAUUUUAUCCACAAUUGUUAAAAUAUCUAUCCAUUUAAUUGAUAAUUUUCAUGAAAAAUGAAGUCAAAAGUACACCAAAAGAUCCAAAAUUUCAAUAUUUUUCAGGUGAAAAAUUAUACUAAUUAAACACAUUUGGCCCUUGUUUGAGUCCCAUUUUUUGGGACGAAUGAAUUUUUGAAAAGUGUAUUGAUGGGAACUGUGUGGUUAAAAAAUAAGGAAAUGUUUUCAAUUUGUGUAUAAUAUUAUUUUAUUGAAAAAUGUGUGAUUGAAAUGAUGUCAAAACACUGUUCAAAAAUAUAUUUUUCCAAAAGAAUGGGGCUCAAAGAAGGGCUCAAUUUCCAGUAAAACAAGUUCUAAGCAAUUCAAUUCUCUAUAAUUCGUUUUCUUUCCACCAAAAUUUUAUUCAUGUAAUCAAACGGACCAUAAUUGUAGUUUCAUUUCUAUAUUGAGACUUAUGUACUAUCUUCUCUAUAUACUUUUUUCUAUUGAGAAUCUUCCCCAGCAACCAACUCUAAAUUGAUGGAUCCUUGUGUGUGAAGAAAAGUAAAACCCUAUUCCGUGUUUUAAAUAGAUCAGAAUCAGGAUAAUUUGCAGCUUAAUUGAAGUUUAACAUUUAGAGGUUUGGGUGGGUUAGCAUUUAUUGUUAAUUAUCGCUUCCAAAACCGGCAACAAGUAUAUAUGUUAAGCAACCGUCUUCUCCGGUGAAUUCAUUUCCCCAGCUUUUUGAGACGGUGUGUAGCCUCAGCUUUUUGGCAUGUUCACUAAAGAAAUUAAAACAACCAAGCCGAACAUCAAUAAAUUGGAAGUCGUGCAAAUGAUAGUUGACAAGAUUUAAGAGAGUGAUAAUGAAGAUCCUUACUCCGCUACUCUAAAAUUUUCUUUAAAGCAAUAAAGAAAUUUGUCCUCUUUCACUAAGCGAUUGAAAUUGAAUUCCGAUCCGUUUCCAAUUCUCUUAUUGCAAUCACUGAGUGUGUUUUGUGUUGUAAUUUCUUGUAGAUUCCUAUGUGGGGAAUCAAUGGGAUGCAAGCAAUCUAAAAUCAAGAACGACAAAAAUGUAAAUCAAAUGCUAGGAGCAGGAGCAAUAUAUAGAUUGAAGCACUGUAUGUUUUAAUUUUCCUUUUAACUAUUAUCUAUCAUUCAAUUUUACUGUGCUCGUGAUUUGGAUUGUUUUGCAGGGUGAUAUAUAUACUAUAGAGAGAGAGAGAGAGAGAGAGAGAGAGAGAGAGAGAGAGAGAGAUUUAGUUGAUUAUGAGUUGAUGAGCCGAGCUACAAAGUUUUCGAAGAAGGUAGAAUUGGGGAAAAUGGAGAAUAACUAUAAGAUCUUCUAUAAGAUAGAGUGAUUUUUAUUUUGGAUUUUGCCGAAGUGCCAGAAAAAUGGAUGACAGAUGAUCUGACCUCUUCUAACAAGCGCCGAGCCCUACAUGAAUAAACAAUUGGCAUGAAGAAGUGGCCCCACCUCCAAAUGUGUGUCUAGGUCAGAGCUUCUGUCAAUUAAUUUUUGGUGCUAAAGCUCGGUUCUUUUAUUUUGCUACAAAAACAUAUAAAUCAACGUGGAGGUCAAAAUAAGUCUUAAGUUUUAAAUCACAAUUUCAAGAUAACUAACCACAUUUUUUUUGAAGGAAACAUGUGAUCAAUUCGUUUAAAUCAAUAUUCUAGGAAAUUUGUCCACCCACUUUCCAUAUUUAAUUAAAAAUAGCACAUUCCCUAAAUUAUUAUUUUCGAGGUGUAAUUGAAGAGUAACAACUGGAGGAUUUAUUUUUGAAAGAACAAAACAAAAAAUUCUCCAUAAUGCUGCAAGAGGAGAAAUCCAUCUAGCUCUCUGAAAAUUUUUAAUCUCGUCAACCACAUUUUCCUCAGAAUGCACUGAGAAACCAAAUCUAUCAUAUCCUUUGUAUACAUAUUUAUACAAAUAUUUCACAACUUUGAUGGUUGAACAAAUUCUACAUUUAUAUGGCAAUUAAAUUUAGCUAAGAGAUAUGGAUUGUAAGGUACAAUCCAUUUUUUAUCUAACCAUUGUCCUCUAACUUUCACUUUCCUCCCAUUAUUUAAACGUCCAUACGUUGGAUAUGAAAAUUCACCUAACAACGUCUCUAGGGCAUAAUCCUUUGGGAAAUGACUUCUGCAUUGUUUAUAUUCAUGCAUACAUUUCUUGGAUUUAAAAUGUCACAAGGACCAUGUAUCAUGUGAGCAACAACAACAGAGUAUAAAAUGAGGGUAAAUUUGUCUGUCUGGAAUCUCAGCGCUAACAAAUUUAUCUACAGAUUCAGGAGCAAUGAUUUUGGAUGCACGGCCUAAAAUGAUUAAAAAAUGAGCAUAUGGUAAACCUCUUUUUUGGAAUUCUAUGACAUAGAUAGAUGCAGUUGUAGAACCAAAGAUUUUAUUUUUGAAAAUAUCAAUUUUUAGUUCUUCUAACUUAGCUCUAAAGAUUCAAGUUAAAAGAUCAGUUCUAUUUUAUGAUUCGUCAUUAUACCUUAAUUGGUCUUCUAUUUCAGGCCAAUUUGGAUUAUAAGUAAUAGUCAAGAAAAUAUCAGAUUUACCAAAUUUUUGAACUAAUGUCAUUCUAUCCAAUGUCAUUCCAUCCAUAUAUCUUUUGUUCAUGUCCCUUGGACCACCAGUAAAAGAUGAUCGCAGAAUGAUUCUUUUACCAGUCAUGGCUACUCGAGUUUUACCAGACUUAACACAAUCUGUAAUCCCUUGGUAAAGCUCAGGGCGUAUUUCAUUUUGAUUAUUACGAAAAUAAUCUAAUCUAAACAUUUCAAUCUUCAAGUACAUAUCUACAACAUAUUGUUAUAACAAAUGUCCAGCAUGAAGUAAAAUUGACUUAUGUGAAGGUCUAACCUGUAAUUUGUAGGAAUAGUAUUCCUUACAUGAUACCUGAGCUCUUGUUGUCUUGUUUUGCACAACUGGAAAAAGUAUAGAACAAGAAAAUGUCUUACAAUAUGAAAUUUUAAACAUUUUAAAAAUAAAUGUACUAAGCGUAAAUAAAUUAUUCACCUGUAUUUUCCACUGCAAAAAUUUCUUUAGCAGAAUUUAAUUGAUGAAUGUCAAAUAAAUUUUCAUUUGCACAUGUUUGUUGUCUUCUGCGUUUGUCAAUUCUAACAAUACUGUUGUAUAUUUUAGCUUCACAAAUGUACGAACCGUAACAAGUAAUAGUGGACCUAAGAGUCCGAAUUGUCGAUCCGACAAAGACUAUUUUCUAGCACUUAAUUCAAUUUUCCUUUAAUUACUAUUUGAUGAAAACAAUUUAAAAGUUAUAAUGAUUUGAGUUUAAAUCUUAAUUCUAGACAAUAAAUAAAUGCUCACACCAAAAACUUGUAAGAUAAAAUAAUUAGAGGACGUUAGGGCAGAAUAAUUUCACCUAUUGAUUACCUUUACAUCUCAAAUUAAGACUCAAUUCUAUUGUAGUGCUCGGUCGAAUUCUUCUAUUGUAUUCAAUUUACCCAUUUUGAGUUCUCAUUGAGUCUAUUCCACUAAUUAAAUUUCAUAUCUCUAUGCAAAUUUAACUUAGUUAAAGGAGUUCAUUGUCCUAGGAAUUCAAUUAUGACCACAAUAAAUGGCAUAAGUAUCUCUACACAUUAUACCAAUGUACUAAAUUUUACUAUAUGGUCUAAAUUCUAAACUCAUAUCUCUAUUUGUAAAGGAUUCACAAAAUUCAUCAAAUUACUGAUCAAAUAAUUUAAUGCAAUCAAUUCAUAGCAAGAAUCAAUACAUGGAAAGAUUAAAAAUCAAGAAUCUUAAUAAGAAAAUAUAAAGGAUAUCAAGUGGGAUAUAUUAUUCGCCCUAACAAUGGAUUUAGCUAUGCAUAAUAAAAGAAGAGCAACAACAAAUUGUUUUAGAGUACAUCACUAGAUUCUUAAUAAGAGUAUGUAAAAGAAAAAGUAGAUCUUACACCAAGAAUUCCUCAUUCUUCCAAUUUAUGCUUUACACGAUGAAUUUGGCGUUGUCUUCUCCUUUUGAAUCUCUCCCCCUUUCUCUCAAAAAGUGUUUUUAUCUCUAGAAUUUGUAGAACCCUCUAAAGUCUAAAAAAAAAAACGUAUUUAUAGGUCCCUUGCUGUGUAGGAGUAAUAGGUUUCUCUCAUGGACUCCAAAAUGGGCCGAAAAUUUGCGCCCUAGCGAUCCUAUGCGCGGCGCCUCACCCUAGGCGCCGCGUUAAUUGAUGGAUGGCGCCGUAGCACCACCCUUUUUUCUGUCUCGGCGCCUCGGACAAGUGUAGGGCGUCGCGGCACCCACAACUGGUUCUUCUUGAUUUCUUGGGUUCUGGUGCUCGUCCCAUCUUUGCUUUGUCUAUUUUGCCCCUGUAUUACAACUUCUUUUCCGUCCAUGCCAAUAACUUCAAUUUAAUGAUCUUUCUUCGUAUCCUUUGCCAUCUUGACAAACUUAUAAAACAACAUUAACACACAUUAAAAACGUUCUAUACUAGUGAAUUCUAACUUAAAACCAAGUUAAAAUUUGCAUAAAGUCGUGAGUAAAAUACACUCGUCAAAUACCCCCAAACUUAACCAUUUGCUAGUCCUCAAGCAAACACACAAAGAAAAGAAACCAACUAAAGACACAAAUAAUGAUUCGGUUAGAUGGCUCGCCUCUUGGCUCAGCAUUGAGAACAUUAUGUCACAUUCGUGAGCGAUUUCUAGAUUGCAAUACAAGAGCCAACUAUUCACUUAUGCUAUGCAAAACAGUUGUGUGUGUGAGAGAGAUUAAGUGUAACGCUGUACCUUCACAAGUUAGUUCACUCCCCAAUCCUCUGUGGUCAAUUCUUUUCUUUCUUCACUCGUGAGAUUCACACACAUCCCAAAUUUGUUUUCUUCUACUCUCUCACCAUGGUGUGGUUCUAAGGUUUUAAUUUUACUUGCCAAUGUCUCACACCGCUCUAAUUUGGUUUAGCUCUACCGGUGAUGUCAAUAACUUAUUCAUGUAAUAAUUCUCCUCAAUUUUGAAUGUUUCAACAGUCUAGUUUAUACCAAGGAUUCAAACCUGCUAGAUAUCUUUGUCUCCAAAUUCAGUUCUUUUGUGUUUUAACUUGUGUACAAACACUUUUCUAACCCUUUUUUUUGUACCUCACCCUUUUUUCCUCUUCUUAACCCCUUUAGCGAGUGUUAGGUCGGUAACUCCCAAGUUAGACGACUUUAGGGCACCACGUUUUGAAAGACCCCUACGGACUUAAUAACUCGAGUAAAAAAAGGUACAGGUAUGAGAUGUAGCUUUGAAGUGCGAUGCUUCAUUUCUAUGAAGCGAAAUUUUUAAGGGAUAGAUCUCUAGCUUGCGGUCAUAACUAAGCUUAUACCAGAAAGUUAAAUACACUCCACACAAAUUUGUAACAUGCACGGAAUCAUCACAAGCUUAAAUUACUUCUUUCACCGAGUCGAACAUCCCAAACCAUUAAACAAGUGGUGAAAGGUGUUGUAAAUCAUGGGGUACAAGGUCCAAUACCUAAGUUAUCAAUUGAGCAAAAGCAUAUGAACCAUCAUGUGCCUGUACAAUGCUAAACUUAGUACUCAUGCAUAAAUAUUACACUGCUUCACAUAGAUAAGUAAAAACCCAACUCAAGCAUAUAAAUCUUCCAUUGUCCAUGAACUAACACAUGCUCUCAAAUAUAUUUAUCAUGGCGGACAACACAUCCGACUCACACAAGCACGCAACAUUUCGGAUUUUUUUUACACAUUCACACACAAUGAAAUGAUAGACAUUCAUUCACACAAAAAGAACCGAUAGCCAGUAACCCAAGCGAUUACCCCCCAAACUUAAACCAUAUAUUGUCCAUAAUGUAAAGAAAAUGAGAGUCAAAGGAGGAGUAAGACUUUACUGAAAUCAUCUGUGGGUGCCCUCGCCAUCGUCUCGUUGAGAGGGAUUCGGGUUGGCUGGAUACAGUGGAUAUGUUGGCUAUGUCGGAAAUGACAAGUUAGGAUAGGCGGACACCAGCACUGAAAAGAACUCAUUUUGGUAGUGAAAUUGGGUAUGCAUGGAGAUCUGUAAUUGCUGAUAUUGGUCGGUCAUACAGGAUUGCAACUGUGCUAAAUGCUGCUGAAGUCCAUCAUAUUGUGCUUGACUUCGUGUUUCCAGUUCAGCAUGUCUUUGGGUCAGCUGUAGCUGCAAAGCCUCAAUCCACCCAGUAAUGUCAUCGGUGUUGGAACUAGCAGGUGGUAGAGGACUAGGUCGAGAUGGUUAUGCUUCAAUCCCUUGUGGAUGAGCAUUUGCAAAGAUUUGCUUGGAAGAGAAUUGCAAAAUCAGCCUCUUAGUCACAGCGGGUUUAGGGUGAACUAUCUUCUCAGUAGGAGUAGUUGGAAUUUUGUCCCUCCUACAUAGGACAUGGAUUAAGGAUGGAUAGCCUAAACCGGCAAUUGUAGCUCCUUUCAGUGAUCGCAAGAAGUUGUUUUGAAUAACUGUGCCCAUGUCUACGCUGAGGCCUCGCUGAAUAAUAAAAUUUAGUAAUGCCCAAUCUUUAGUCACUUCACUGAUAUUACUACUGGGCAAAAGUUUACCACAUAUGAAAUAGUGUCAUGUCUUACAUUCAGGGAACAUACCUACAGCUGGAAAGUUGGUGACAUUGGACCUGGAUCGUUUCCAAGAGACAUCAGGGUAGGCUAACUCUCUAAUUAUAACUUCCAGAUCAAUCGCCUCUUCAUCACGCAAUCUUGAGAAAUCAUCAUCUUUUAUAUCUGGCAAUCCAUAGUACCGAUUAAUGGUGGUACUGUCAAAAUGGAUCCACUUUCCUCUGACAUAGAUUUCAGGUCCUGGUGUUCCCUAGCAUUUGCAUAAAAUUCCCGCACCACUGGUAUCAGUCCUGGUUGUGGUUGUUUUGUAAAACACUCCCACUCCCAUUUUCGGCCCUCAAUUUGCUCUUGUAUAUAAGGUUCCAAAUCAUCAAAUCCCUGCGCUGGAAUACAGUUCUUGUGUAUAACCAUGUCAUGGUAUUUGCGUUCCGCUUCCUCACUCACAAAUUUGCUCGUGUCAAAAGUGCUUGAUGAGGAUGUCGAGGCCUUCGAUUUCUUAUUUGGUGGCAUUGUAUACUGCAAUAAUCAAACACCUCGAACCACUUAAAUCUGCACUAAGGUACUGCAAUGACAUGAAACACAGGGGUAAAGUGUACAAUUGGUGCCCAUAAGAAAUUAAGAGUCAUUGGAACAUUUCAUCAAACACCUUACAUGCAAAGUAUAGUUCACAAAGUCAUACAUGCAAUCUCCCCCAAACUUAAAUUCAAGUAAAAAAAUCACAAACCCCAAUUGUGAUGGUAACAACAUCCACUAUAACCCACUAAAAAUUUCAAAUGUCAAACAAGUGUUGUGAUGCAUUAAGCUUAAAUGACCAUUACAAACUAAGGCAUAUAUGAACACAAACCUUGAAUCUUGUGGCAAGUCCAAAAUCUUGGUGGAAUGUAAAGAGAUGUACCUAAGAUAUGAAGUGGGGAGGAAAUUGUGUGUUAAAAAAUAUAAGUGAAAUAUAGACUAAGGGAGAGAUGGAGGGAAAGAGAUUAGGGUGAAAUUGAGUUGGGAAAAAAUUUAAAAUGGAAGGGGAGGUGAGUGAGUAAUAUAUAAAUACAAUAACUAAGAAAAAUAAAUAAAAUAAAAUAGAAUGGGGAGGGUUUGGCGCCAGGCUGUUGAUGUAACGGCGCCGCUAUGCCCUGAAGUGGCGUCGCAGCACCAGGUCCCCUUUUUUUUUUAAUAAAAAUACCUCCUUCCAUGUUAGUACCAUCCUCAUGCAUGACGUAGCUUGGUUUUCCUCAUCCGUUCACAAAAUGUAAUUCCGUUUUAGAAUAUUCCUACAAAACAGAAAGGAAAAGUCAUGCCUCUGGCCUAGAUUCUCAACAAAGCAGAAAGUUAAACAAAAAUGAAGAAACAGAUGAAGGAAAGAAAGAAAAAAGACGCUUAGGUUGUCUUCUAAAAAACGCUUCUUUAGAGUCAUUAGCUAAACUUAGCGUCGCGAUUAUUCUUCUACAGCGAGGUCAAGGCUCUCCUUGGCAAUGGGAAAUCUUCCACGUAGUGCUUGAUGCGUUGGUCAUUUACUUUGAAAUUUCCCUUUGUAGGAUGGUGUAGUUCAACUGUGCCAUAGGGAAACACUUGGGAGACCGUAAAGAGGCUGAACCAUCUUGAUUUCAAUUUUCUCAAAAAAAGCCUAAGUCUGGAAUUGUAUAAUAGCACUUGACCUCCUACUCUGAAAAUUAGUUGACUGAUGUUCUUGUCUUGUCAUUGCUUCGUCCUUUCCUUGUAAAUGGAUGCAUUCUCAUGUAUUUCUCUUCUGAAUUCCUCCAAUUCAUGUAAUUGCAAUGUUCUUGUUUCUCCGACUUUCUUAAGAUCCAUGUUUAAUUGCUUCAAUGCCCAGUACGCUCUGUACUCAAACUCCACUGGUAGGUGGCAUGCUUUUCCAAAAACAAGAUGGUACGGGGACAUUCCAGUAUGUGUUUUGUAAGCAGUGUGAUAUGCCCAUAAAGCAUCAUCCAAUUUCUUCGACCAAUCCUUUCGAGAUGCAUUCAUAGUAAGCUCUAGAAUUCGUUUCAAUUGUCUGUUCAAGGUUUCCACCUUUCUACUCGUUUAGGGGUGGUAAAGAGUGGUGAUUCGAUGUUGUACCACGUACUUAUGCAACACUACCUGGAAUAACCGAUUGCGGAAGUGUAUUCCACCAUCACUUAUAAUGGCUCUUGGUGAUCCAUAGCGGUUAAAGAUGUGUUUCUUUAUGAAGUCCACCACCACCCUAGCAUCAUUUGUAGGCAAUGCUUUUGCUUCUACCCAUUUAGAAACAUAUUCCACUGCAAUUAGAAUGUAUCGAUUAUUGUAAGAUGAUGGAAAAGGACCUAUAAAGCCAACCCCCAGACAUCAAAUAUUUCCAUCUCCAGAAUAUUGUUAAGUGGCAUCUCGUGACGUGCUAAUAUGUUACCGGUUCUCUGAUACUUAUCACAUGAUCUACAAAAAUUGUGGCAGUUCUUAAACAGUGUAGGCCAAAAGAAACCACAUUGAAGCACCUUUUCUGCUAUUUUAGUGGGGCCAAAAUGUCCUCCAUAAGUCGAAGCAUGUACCCAUGAAAGGAUCGAUUUCAUCUCAUCCUCUGGCACGCAUCUCCUAAUGAUUUGGUCUGCCCCUCGUCUGUAUAAAUUUGGUUCAUCCCAAUAAUAGAACUUCGCUUCAUGAAGUAGCUUCUUCUUCUGCUAAUAGGUGAGAUCUGGAUCCAUAUAACCACUUGCUAAGUAAUUGACAAUGUCUGCAUACCACGGAGUCUUCUCUAUUUGCAAUAACUGUUCAUCUAGGAAGACCUCAUUAAUAUCCAUGUCAUCUGAAUCCUACAACUGUUCUAUCCUUGACAAAUGAUCCGCUACUUGAUUUUCUGUUCCUUUUUUUAUCACGAAUAUCGAUGUCAAAUUCUUGCAGCAACAGAACCCAUCAAAUUAGCCUUGGUUUUGCGUCCUUCUUCUUAAACAGAUACUUCAAAGCUGCAUGGUCUGUAUAAACUAUCACCUUGAACCCAAUCAAAUAAGAACAAAAUUUGUCAAAAGCAAAAACAACUGUGAGCAUUACCUUUUCAGUUGUUGCAUAGUUGAUCUGAGCAUCUGUCAGUGUUUUGCUAGAGUAGUAGAUAAUAUGAAAUAUCUUUCCUUUGCGUUGUCUAAGCACUGCCCCCACUGUAAAGUCACUAGCGUCACACAUGAGCUCAAAAGGGAAUUCCCAAUCUGGUGCCACUAUCACAGGUGCUGAUGUCAAUUUUUCUUUCAAAGUGUUAAAGGUUUUCAGACAUUAUUUAGAAAAAUAAAACGGUACAUCUUUCUCUAGUAGGUUGCACAGCGAUUUUGUAAUCUUUGCAAAGUCGUGAAUAAAUCUUCUGUAAAAACCUGUAUGUCCCAGAAAACUUCUGAUUCCCUUCACUGAAUUAGGUGGCUACAAUUUUUCAAUCACCUGUAUUUUGCCUUUGUCCACCUUGAUGCCCUGUGUAGAAAUUCGAUGUCCUAGUACUAUUCCCUCCUUUACCAUGAAAUGACAUUUUUCCCAAUUAAGCACGAUGUUUUUCUCCUCACAUCUUUGCAAUACAAGAGCCAACUGAUCUAAACAAUCUUCGAAUGAAUCUCCAAACACACAAAAAUCGUCCAUGAAAACUUCAAUGUACUUUUCUACCAUGUCAGAAAAGAUGGCCAUCAUGCAUCGUUGAAAGGUUGUCAGUGCAUUAUAUAAACCAAAAGGCAUUCUUCUAAAUGCAAAGGUUCCGUAGGGGCAUGUGAAGGUUGUCUUCUCUUGGUCUUUUAGAGCAAUUAUUAUCUGAUUAUACCCUGAAUAUCUGUCCAGAAGACAGUAAUGAGUACGUCCUGCUAACCUCUCCAACAUCUAAUCAAUGAAUGGCAAUGGAAAAUGGUCCUUUCUGGUUGCAUUAUUUAGCUUUCUAUAAUCUAUACAUACUCUCCACUCUAUCACUAACCGUGUUGGUAUUAGCUCGUUAUUCUUGUUCUUCUCCACUGUGAUUCCACCAUUUCUAAGCACAACAUGUACAAGACUCAUCCACGAACUAUCAGAUAUGAGAUAAAUUAUUCUUGGAUCUAGUAAUUUUAGUAAUUCUUUUCGCACUAUUUCUUUCAAGGUUUGGUUUAACCUGCGUUGUCCUUCUACUGAUGGCUUUGACUCGUCCUCCAUUAAAAUCUUAUACAUGCACAAAGUUGGACUGAUCUCUCUGAUGUCAGCUCUCGUCCAUCCAAUUGCUAUUUUGUGCUGUCUGAGUACCUCCAACAAUUUAUUCUUCUCUUCUCUUGUCAUGUCAUUUGCAAUGAUUACUCGAAGUGUUGCAGAGUCUCCCAAAUACGUAUAACGAAGAUAUGAAGGUAAGGGCUUUAGCUCGAGAGUGGGUGCCUUUUCCACUGAGGGUACCGGGGAUGAAAGGUUGUCACUAAGAGAUUCAAAUUGCCAAUGUCUUCUUCCUAUUCGUUGCUCGGCUAAGUUAACAACACAUUCAGCUUUUCCUACAUUUGUUACUUCCAGUUUUGCCUCACAAAGAUUUGUUCGAUGCUCUGUCUUCGAUAUAUCUGCCACAAGCUCUUCAAGAACAUCUACUUGGAAACAAGUGUCCGAAGUUAAUGGAUGUCUCAUCGCCUUGAACAAGUUGAAUAUGACUUGCUCAUUGUCCACUCGAAUAAUCAUCUUUCCAUCAUAAACAUCAAUCAACGCUCUUUCGAUAGCCAAGAAGGGAAUUCCCAAAAUCAAAGGAAUGUUUGAAUCCUCCUCCAUGUCCAAAAUGAUGAAGUCAGCCGGAAAAAUGAAUUUGUCAACUUUGACUAGCAUAUCUUCAAUAAUCCCCUUCGAUCGUUUGAUCGAUCUAUCGGCCAGUUGCAAAGAGAUUGUUUUAGUUUUUGUUUCUCUCAACCCAAGAGACAUGUAAAUAGAGAGAGGCAUAAGGUUAACACUGGCACCCAAAUCACAUAGGGAUUGUUCAAAAUAAUUAGAACCGAUUGUACACGGUAUCGUGAAACUCCCUUGGUCUUUUAGUUUAAGAGGUAGCUUUCUCAAUAGAAUUACACUGCACUCCUCGUUCAGGCAGACUAUCUCACGUUCUUCCAACUUCCUUUUGUUAGAUAGGAUUUCUUUCAAAAAUUUUGCGUAGCUAGGCAUUUGUGCAAUUGCAUCUGCAAAUGAAAUAUUGAUGUGCAGUUUCUUGAAAAUCUCUACAAAUCUGGCAAAUUGAUUGUCCAACUUCUUUCUUUGUAAUCUUUGAGGGAAGGGAAUUGGUGGCACGUAAGCUCUCACGGGGCUGGGUGCUCUCACUAUAGGUAUUUCUUUCCUUUUGUUCCCUUUGUCAUUUAGGUGUUCAGACUCUGCUUCUGUACCGGCCUCUUCACUUAUUAUUUCUUCGUUUUUUGGCUUUGGUCUCUUCACACGUAUCUCAGGAAGUUGUACCCCACUUCUGGUUAUAAUAGCUUGCAAUUGCUCUUUUGGAUUGACCAUUGUGUUGCCUGGCAAUGUCUCUUGUGGACUUUCUGCAAGCUGUUAAGCUAUUUGACCAAUUUGUGUUUCCAACUUCUUGAUGGAUGCUUGUUGGUUCUGAAAGUUAGUGCCAAUCUGCUGGAACACCUUGUUUGUUUUUUGCAUAUGCUUUUUGAACAUCUCUCCCAAACUUGGUUUUUUCUCCUGUUGGGCGCUGUUUGAUCUGUUCCCUUACUGAUUAUCCGACCAUCUGAUGUUUGGGUGUUGUCUCCAUCCUGGGUUAUAUGUUUGAGCAAAUGGAUUAAAAUUUUAAGACCCAUUCUGAAUAAAAUUGACUUGUUCAUCGGGAUAGCCUAUAGAUGUACAGUUUUCUGUCAGAUGAUUAGCCCCGCAAUUCUCGCAAGAUGGACCAAUUGUCACUGCAUGUGCUCCUUUUUUUGUGAUUUCACCGACAACUCCACAUGUUUUGUCAAUGCUGCUAUUUUGGGCGUUGGUAGCUACUGUGCUGUCUAACUCAUACAUUUCUCCUGUCUUCGAUGGCCCACUCUUUUCGAUGAGAACAUUGAAUGUGUAGUGGAAAUCAACUCAAACAGUUCCAUGGUUUGCUACACAGAUUUUCCUAUAAUUGAUCUACUAGCUGAGGCAUCAACUUGGGAUUUUGACAAUGGUGUAAAUCCAGUGUAGAAGUAUUGCACUUGAUUACCUAUAGUAAUUCCAUGGUUUUAGCAUUUCCUCAUCAUCUCAUUAAACCUAUUUCAUGCCUCGUGGUAGCUUUCUCCCUCUUUCUGUUGAAAGGUUUGAAUCUCCAAUUUGAUUUUAGCUACUCUCGUCGGUGGGAAAAAUUUAUUGCAAAAUUUCCUGGUUAGUUCUUCCCAUGUAGCAAUGUUGGCGUGAAGCUCUGCAUCUAACCACUCCAAUGCAGUAUUUCUCAAUAUAAAUGGGAAUAGUCGUAGUUUAACAGUAUCUUCAUUGACCCUUGGAGCAUGAAAGUUCUGACAGUUUUUGAGAAAUCUAGAGAUAUGCGUGUUUGGAUUCUCAUGAGGUAGCCCGUAGAAUUGUAGGGUGUUGCUCAUCAAAUUGAUCCAAUCUGGUCUAAUUUGAAAAUUAUUCACCUCAAAAUCUAGAUACACAAUAUUGGAGCGCGUGGGUACUGCUAUAGGCGUCAGGAACAUUGAUAAUGGCAAAUCACUUUCAUUUAUUUCCCCUCGUUCAUGUUGCUGCUUCGGUGGUGCCACCACUCUUGUGGCCAUUUGUCUAAUCGGCUGAAUAGGGAUAAGGAUUUGUUGAUUGUCAGCCAUUUAAUAUUGCUAUUUUUGUUUGUGCUCUUUGCAUCUUCAUCUGAAGGUACGUUCUAUCUCCGAAUCAAAUUGUUCAAGAUUGUCGCCUUGGGCACGAAGCAUACAAUGAACACAAUUUUCUGUAAAUAAAAGAAAUAAACAAAUCACAUAACAGUUAAAAAUAAAGUAAAUUAAGACUAAAAGUAAUAGUCCUCGGCAACGGCGUCAAAAACUUGUUGUAUAUUUUAGUUUCGCAAGUGUACGAACCAUAACAAGUAAUAGUGGACCUAAGAGUCCGGAUUUUCAAUCCCACAAGGAAUAUUUUCUAGCACUUAAUUCAAUUUUCUUUUAACUACUAUUUGAUGAAAACAAUUUAAAAGUUAUAAUGAUUUGAGUUUAAAUCUUAAUUUUAGACAAUAAAUAAAUGCUCACACCAAAAACUUGUAAGAUCAAAUAAUUACAGGACGUUAGGAUAGAAUAAUUUCACAUAUUGAUCACCUUUACAUUUCAAAUUAAGACUCAAUUCUACUGUAGUGCUUGAUCGAAUUCUCCUAUUAUAUUCAAUUUACUCCUCUCGAAUUCUCAUUGAGCCUAUUCAACUAAUUAAAUUCCAUAUCUCUAUGCAAAUUUGACUUAGUUAAACGAGUUUUUUGUCCUAGGAAUUCAAUUAUGACCGCAAUAAAUGGCAUAAGUAUCUCUACACGUUAUACCAACGUACUAAAUUUUACCAUAUGAUCUAAAUUCUAAACUCAUAUCUCUAUUUGUAAAGGAUUCACAAAAUUCAUCAAAUUACUGAUCAAAUAAUUUAAUGCAAUCAAUUCAUAGCAAGAAUCAACACAUGAAAAAAUUAAAAACCAAAAAUCUUAAUAAGAAAAUAUAAAGGAUCUCCAAUGGAUUACAUUAUUCGCCUUAACAAUGGAUUUAGUUACGCAUAAUAAAAGAAGAGCGACAACAAAUUGUCUCAGAGUACAUCACCGAAUUUUUAAUAAGAGUAUGUAGAAGAAAAAGUGGAUCUUGCACCAAGAAUUCCUCCUUCUUCCAAUUUAUGCUUCACACCAUGAAUUUGACAUUGUCUUCUCCCUUUGAAUCUCUAUCCCUUUCUCUCAAGAAGUGUUUUUGUCUCUAGAAUCUGUAGAACCCUCCAAAGUCUCAAAAAAAAAGUAUUUAUAGGUCCCUUGUCGUGUGGGAAUAAUAGGUUUCUCGCAUGGACUCCAAAACGGGCCAAAACUUUGUGCCCUAACGAUCCUAUGAGCAGCGUCGCAGCGCCUGGGGUGCGGAGUUGCGUAGUGUUGCGUUAAUUGAUGGCACCACCCUUUUUUCUAUCUCGACGCUGUUCACAAAAUAUUUCUCUCAAUUUAAAACUACCGCAAGUGUACGGAUCGUAACAAAUAAUAAAGUGGAUUUUUAAAGGUCCGAAUAUCGUCCCACAGAGAUUGAAUAGUUCAAUUCUAUAUAAUCUAGCCUUAACCGAAUCUAAUUGAGUGAAAAUAUAGUCCAAAUGCAAAAAGCCCUAAUUUCAAUUAAAAACCCUAAUUUAUAUUGAAAACCCAAAUUUCUCAAUUAGAAACCCUAAUUUCGAAAUUUCUCUAAUUAAACGACUCAAACACUCAAGUAAAUGAAAUUAUGCAAAUUCAAAAGCUAAUUUAUGGAAAUGAAUCAAAAUAAAGUCACUAGGAUCACGAAUCCCCAAUUGAAGCUAUAAAAACCCUAAUUUCAUAAAAUCAAUGACCCGAUGGAAAUUUGCCAAUUCAAUGAUCCUAAUUCUAUCCAAUUUAUUCUCUCGAUAUAUAUUAGACCUAUUCUUGCACACCACCAGCCUAUAUCUCUAUUAAUGAUGCAAAUAUAAAAAAAUGCAUGUGGUUUUGUGAACAAUUAGAGAAUUGCAUAAAGUAUAGGGUAUAUCUCUAUCCCCUAUCGGACCCUAUGUUGAUUUACACCUUAUCGAACAUAUUCCACUUCUCUCGAAUGUAAGAAAUAAAUUAUCAACACUCACACAAUCAUUGGCCACUAAUUGCGAAAAAAAAUCAAUGCAUAUAAACCAAUCAAAUUAUCCAAACGAGUCUUUAUAUUAAAUUCAUGAAAUAUGGAAUUAAAAUAACAGACAAUGGUUCAUCGAUCACCUAGUGAAUUGAAAACCUAGCCUAGAAUAUUCAUAAUUAUAGAAAAAACGAAAUUAAUAAAUAUAAAGAAUAGCACCCGUAUGAAAACUUCUUGAAAUCUUGAAUAAAGCCUUGAAAACCCGCUUGAAUUCUUAUGGAAUCGGCUUCAAGAUCGUGUUUCUUGCCUCCCAAAAGUUAUAUUUUUCUUCUCUCUGGACGUUCUACCCUAUUUUUGAUGAAUUUUAGCUUUUAUAUCAUAUCCUCAUGGAGCCCCGAAAGAGUUUUAAUUAAAAACGCAAGUUCAGAAUUUUCUUCGAUUUUUAUAGCCAUGCGGCCGCAUGGUGUUGGUUCAAGUGAUCCAACUCAAUGAAAUCCCUACAACCCUAUGUACGGCCGCAUGGCAUAGUUCUGUGCGGCCGCAUGGUUGUAACUUUACAACCUUGUUGUUUUGGUCCCUGAACUUCGUUUUCUCUUUUCUUGAUCUCUUUUCUUUCUUUCCUUUGUUCCAUCAUCAAAUAUCAGCUCCUAAUUGAUGUUUGGAUCAAUCAAUUCCUUGAUCACUUGCUCGGCUCAUCUUUUGAUUAAUUGCAGUUUAGUCCUUCAUCUUUCACUUUUCUUCAAUUCAGUCCAAUGUUACUUAUUUCUUCCUCCAAACGUCUUGUAUCGUCCUCAAUCUCAUACUUGGCAUAUUUUCAUUCUCGUUCUGCACUUUAGCUCAACUUUCCAAUAUUUGCACCUUAGGUCCCCGAACUAUCGCUUUGUUCCGUUUUGGUCCUUUUUCAGCUAUUUUCUUCUGAAUUUCAUCUUUUCCAUAGAAACACCUACAUUGCAUGAAUUUAACGAGAUUAAAUCACAAUUCAACUACUUUGUCCAUGUUUAAGUUAUGUUUGUAAGCUAAAUAAGUGUGUAAAAACACACUUAUCAGACACCGUAGCGCCUUGAAUUCGGUGUCGAGACUCGGACAAGUGUGGGGCGUUGCAGCGUCAUGAAUGUGGCAACCAGGUGCCCACACUCUGGUUCUUCUCGAUUUCUUGCGUUCUGGUACGGUUCGCCCCAUCUUUGCUUUGUCUAUUUUGCCCUUGUGUUACAAUUUCUUUUUCGUCCAUGCCAAUAACUUCAAUUUAAAUAUCUUUCUUCGUAUCCUUUGCCAUCUCAACAAACCUAUGAAACAACAUUAAUACACACAUUAAAAACGUUCUGUACUCAUGAAUUCUAGCUUAAAAUCAAGUUACAAUUUGCAUAAACUCGUGAGUAAAACACACCCGUCAAACACCUUGGUGCCAACCAGUUUUACCAAAAGGAAAUAGUAAGGGAUAUUGAAGAGGAUCAUAACAACCAGAAUAAUAAUGUACAUGAUGUUUUUCUCCCGAAUUGCAAGAAAUAGUUAUAUCACGCACUCGUUCAUUAGUAGUAAAAUCAUCAUCAACCCAAAUAGCAGCAACUUGAGAUGCACACGGUGUAUUAUAUACUCUUUGAUCUGAUCCACAAUCAGAUCUAAUUUUAAGACUAUGAGAUUUCAAAUUUGGAAUAUUUGUUAAAGUCCAAAAAAAAAUUGCGUAUGAAUUCAGUUCCAUCACUUUGACAAGCUUUGAAAGUAUACGCUUUGUUAACUUUUCAGAAAGUUGUAGUCGAUGCUCUAUUUCAUUUUCAUUGUCAAAAAAAUAGAGCUGCAUAUAAGAAGGGCGACUGUUUUGUACAAGAAUGUCAUUUAUAAAAUGAUAUAUUUGACCUUGAAUUCUGAAGGUAUAGAUUCAUUUGUUUCUUUUGCACAAAUCUUUAUCGUAAUGCACACACAUGAAGUGAAUGAGAAAUUGCUAUUGUAAGUUCAUACGUAAGUUUUAAAUUCAAUGGAUUCGAUAGAAUUUGAUGUAAAUAAAUGAUGUAAUUCAUCUGGGGUAUCAUUCACUUUCAAUCUAAUAGCUCCAUCACAACAACAAAAACCUUUCGAUUCAUCUUUAAAUUUUAGAGCCCCACAAUAUUCACAUGACACAGGACAAGGUAAUACUUGUGAUUUGUUUGGUAUCAAAAGCAAACCUUCAUUUGUUGUAAAUAUUGAUGGCAUUAGCUCUGAAUGAACACCAAGCUGAUGGGUAAAAGUCACAGAACAGCUACCUAUCAUGAAAAACCACAUUAGAAUCUACAAAAGGCAUAUCUUUCUAAAAAAAUGUAAAACAUGGUUAUAAAUUCAAUUUUUGACAAAAGAAAUAUAUCAAAUAAACUUAUUUGGUCCAACAUUCCAACUGGGUAAUGGUUAUUUUAUUAGACGAACAACUAGUUAUACUUUUACCUACGGAUACAUCUCUUUCUGUGAAAAAACCAGGUUGAUUUGCCUGUGGCAAGAGCAUCAUUUUCCAACAUUGCAACCAUUGAAGCCAUGCUCGGCCUAUUAUCUGGACAUUGUUGCACACACAAAAGACCCACAUGGAUUAAUCGUAGAACUUUAGAUAGAUUAGCUAUCUCACGUAUAUAAGCAUCAACUAGUUCCAAUGACUUUCAUCCUUAUGAAGUGUCCUUGCCUGCAGUAACAGAUAUUUUUAGCCGAGAUAGUUCAAAGAGAAUAAACAUAUGCAUCUACAAGACAAUAAUUGUAUGUCCAAGAAGGUUGAGAUGUUGAUGUCCAUGGGAAAAUCCACUAUUUCUCUCGCCAAUCACAAUUUUCAACACUAGAACACUAAAGUUAAAUACAUCUAAUUUUUGUGAGAACCGUCCAUGCACUGCGUAUUUAGGUGACAUGUAGUCACUACAUGAAAGUAUUAGCCACAAAAUAAUAUUAAGAACAAUGGAAGUAUAUUAGCUCUAUGUUGUGCCGUCGAGAUUCUUUCUAUAUUCCAACUACCCGUCUUGUCUUAUCUUCGGUUUCAUUCAGUCCAAAACUUCUAGCAAUAUCGAAGUCUGAUAUUUUAGGAUUCAUGUCAGUAUCUAGCAAUAUGUUUCUCACUUUGAGGUCUCUAGGAAUAAUUCUCAUCCAGGUAUCUUGAUAAAUAUUACAUUAGUCCCCUAGCCACUCCAUUAACAAUUUGGAGGCGCUUAGGCCAAUCAAAUAAUGCAUUUUUGGUUUGAUCUGUCAAAAUGUUGUACUAGUUAAUAUACGUCAUCCAAAUGCAGUACGAUGCUAAACGUUAGAAAUUAAUUUCAAAAUCUAUUAUCAACUAUACAUUAUGGAAAAAAAACCAUACUAUAUCGCAAAACGUUAAAUGUAGCAAAAGAACAAUGCUUUCUUAUAUUUAUGCUAUAGAGUUCAUCUCUGGACUAGCAUUAAUAUUCGACUCAGUGCAUGUUUUUUAAGUUAUCUUUGACCAUAUGGAUCGAACAACGACUUAAGUUAGUAAAAAUUCUUUGUGGCGAUAUGCUACUAGAAUUAGAAAUCCUUACCAAAUAAAAUCAAAUCCAGACUUUUGGUUGGCAUAUUUCACAAAUGAGCAACUUUUCUUCUCCUUCUAUGCAGCAUCCUAGAAGCUCCACAAGAUUUCGAUGCUGAAGUUUAGCGAUACAGAUAACUUCAUUCUCGAGUUAAUCAAGUCCUUGCAUGAAAGUUUUGGACAACCUUUUCACAGCAACAUAUUGUCCAUCUUCCAGAGUUCCCUAAGAUUAGAAGUUGUUUAUUUGAAAAUGUAUUUAUUUAAUGAGCUUGAAGUAGCUCUGGAUUUUUUCUGCUGGAAUUCAUUUGUUACUCUCUUUUAAUAAGUCUUGUGGGUUAACCUUUAUAUUAUAUAAAAUGAAUUUGAGGACUUCAUUUCUUAUACAAGUGAUAUGAAAGUUUGAGCAUUGCUACAGAUAUAAGCAUGUACGGUGCUCAAUGUGCAGAAGUGUUCAUCACUUUUCAAAAAUUUCUUAUAAAAUUUUGAAGAAAAUUUUUUUCAGGUCUUUAAUCUUUUUGAAUUAAACCUAUGGAGUAAGUCUAAUUUUCAGAAGACACACAAUAUUGAUCUUCUGUAGAAGUUCUUUGAUAUAAGAAUAUAAAAUAAAAAAAAUAACAUUUCUUUUUGGGAUUAGUGUCUGUUGCUUAUUCCUUGUUUUAAAUCUUUAUUUUCUGCACAUGUUUCCACUCAUUGCAGCCCAAGUAAAGUUCACUAGUCAUAUAAUUCUUCUUAAACUAGAGGAUUUUGUAUGAUACAAGUAUCUAAAGGUCUCUGAUUUCCUUGAAGUACUGCCGUAUUCAAUUUUCACCUUAUAAACAAGCCCGUAUCCACCUUGUCCAAGCUUGUUGUUGGCUGAAAAGUUAUUUGAUGUGAACCUGAUAACCAGAUCGCUACUGAACCUAUGGAAUUUAAACCGGAUCCCACGAAAGCCAAGAAUCCAGGUUUUGGACUCAACCCACAAUAUUGGAACUAAGCAACCCAGCAAUAAAGCCGAUUGAAGGACCUCUUAAUUAUGCAACACGAUGAAUCUUACCCGGAUUUUUGGAUUUGAUUCAAUAACAAAUGAACCAAACAAUCAAUACAAUCACAAGGAUAUGUUGACCUUUUGAUUACAAAUAAUUAUAAAAAAAAUCACAACUCGUUGUUUUGAACGCCACAAGACUAAUAGAUCUUGAUAAGUUCGAAAAGAUUGUUCAAUCCAAAACAAUAAUUUGAAGCAAAGCUUCGAAAGAAAAUUAUCUCAUUAAUUCAUUAAUUCAUCAAUUCAUCGUGGUUAAUGUUUAUAAUGAAUAUAAAACCUAUUUAUAUGAAAACCCUAGAAUAUAGUUUAAAAGGAAAUAAAACUCCUAAAUCCUAAUUAAAACAUUAAUAAACUCCUAGAAUAAGGAAAUUACCAAAAAAGUAGUAAUUCUCUAUCUCGGACUUCAACUGUGUGGUCGCAUGGUAUAUCUAUGUGCAGCCGUAUGGUUCUUCUUGGAUGCGCCUAUAAGUUUCGGACGGUCAAUGUGUUUCCGCAUGGUAGUAUUGCUAUGCAGUCGCACAAUUGCUCGUUUUGGUCCUUUUUUCCAACUUCUUGACUUAGUUGCCCAAGUUGUUUCUUUUUCCACAAUCAACAAAUUCUCGUUCGAUUUGGACCUAGUCCAGAUCACAUCAUUAUUGGUGGCUUUUGAAAUUGUAGAUGCGCAGAACAAUGGCAGCUCAUAAUAUUUGUUAUGGCUUUCAGUACCACUUCCUUAGACAUGAGUAAUAUAAGCAUGUAAUUUAGCAGAGAGAAGUUGAAAAGCGACAGUAUUAUGACCUAGUAUUAGUUAACCUUUCACCAUAAAAUGGCACAAAGUUACCCACCUUCUGUUCUCCAUUUUGUGCAAUUUCUCUUCCUUUUUGAAUAAUAUAUAAUCAAGCUGAAGCCCAAUAGAACCACCCCCCAUUAACGAUGUCAAACUCGGCAUCAAUAUUUUUCUUCCCUUUCCUUUAGAAUCUACAGAAAGUUCAAUCCAAAAGUACUUAUAGUCUUUCAUAAUGAUAGAGAUCAUUCUCCUCUGGUCUCUUGUUUUAAGUGAUCAUCAUCAGAUUGCUCUUACGUUUAUAUAAAUAAUUUUUUAACAUCGAAUCUAGUAUUUCAAUAUGACCAUUAUUUCUCGUAUCAUAUGAUGUCAUACAAAAGAUAAACAUGUUAUUUACCGUGCUCAUAUAAAAAGUUUGCUAAUUGUCAGAAUAAUAACAGAAUAAGGUCAUUGAUAGCAAAGUGCACUGAAUUAUUCAUUGAUUGUUUAGUAUAUUCUUACCCAAUUCAGAAAAAGCCAUUCUAAAGUAAAUAUCUUAUCCAUGUGAAUAUAGAUCUCUAUUGUCAAUCAAGUCUUCAUACCAAAAUAAGCAUCCAUUUCCCUCUCUGGUGAUAUCUAACUGUGUAUACGCCAUACAAGAGCAAUCCUUUAAGCACUUUACUUUGCAUUCUUCAACAGUCAUACUCUUGUUAUACUUACAGUUUCGAGAAUCUGGUAAUUUAAUUCCAGAAUACUUCAAAAAUCCAUCACCCUUUAAACAAUUCAAGGGUUUCCUUUGGUUGCAAACGAUUUGACCAAUCUAACCUAAUCCAACCUUCUGGAUCUUGUGGCUCAAAUUUAUCAAGACAUACACAUGCUGGAGUAUUUGCAAUAUUGUAACUACCAUAAGCACCACACAAUUUGUAAGUAUCACAAUUAUCUGCUAGAAAAUUGAUGUACGUGAUCCAGUCAUGGAUCCGAUCGACCCAUGUCCAGCGUUGUAUAAUACCAAUCUGAGUCAAAAGAACCCUUGAAAUAACUUAAAUGUCAAUAGCCUCCAACCGAUGGUAUGCCUUGUCUUUGUUCAUGAUAAAUACAAAUCUAAAAUUCGUAUCCUACCCUGUAUUUGUUUGCCCACUAAAGCUAAGACCAUUCCAUGGCCCCAUUCUAUACAGAGUAGUUGUACCUCUUUUCAUGACUAGCUGUGGAUAUCCAAUUGGAUCCAAAUGAAAUGUGAAAUCCCCUCUAGCUAGAUCGUCAUUGGCCUUCCCCGACAAUAGGUAGUUCUCUAUACCUUUCGCAAAGUUUCUACCAAUAUUCAUGCAUGGUAGGGACGUAUCACUUGGAUAAUCAAAACUGUGCCAAAGAAAAUUAUCUGGAGGAUCAUCAUUUGCUUCUCUAAGGACAAAAUUUCCCGAGUCCAACAAUUGUAAAACUAGUGUCCGAACAACUCUUGAUCUAUUGGAAGACCAUAUGAUGUUAUUAGUGUCACUCAAAACCACCAAAAUACUCGGCUCCUUGACUUUUAUGAUGCCUAAUGAACUUCUUACUGGAAUUUCUCUAAUGGCUACCCAAACUACAGAGCUAUUAAGUAUCCACCGAAUUCCCACAUAUCGAUUAUUGGAGCUACCUGGGGUGAAAAAUCCCAGUUCAAAUCUUACACCUGAUGAAACCAGGAUGUCGUCAUCUCUAAGAAUCUGAGUUGUAUUAAUGAUAUCUAUUGCUAUUGAAAUCCUUAGGAUAGAAAGCAGUACAACCCUCGGUCAUUGAUGAAAGAGAUGAUCUCAUCAUCGACCGGGUACAUGGAGAUUUGACUGUAGCCUGAGUAGGCAUCCAUGAAGCUUAGAAACUUAUGACCAGCUGUGGAAUCUACAAGUUGGUCGAUUCUUGGGAGGGGAGAAACUGUCCUUAGGACAUACUCUAUUAAGAUCGAAGAAGUCAAUCUACACCCUCCAUUUCGUGUUGUGCUUCUUCAUCGGAACUGGGUUGGAGACCCACUUUGGAUAUUGAGCCUCCUUGAUGAAGCCUUUCUCAAUCAAUUUCUUUACUUCUUCCUUUAGGAUCUCAUACCUUUCCGGGUUGAAAGCUUUUCUUUUCUAUCUAUGCGGGGCAGCUUUAGGAUCAACUUUGAUGUCGUGACAACUUGCCUUUGGGUCGAUGCCUACCAUGUCCUCAUGCCUCCAUGCAAAGACAUCUAGAUUUUUACUCAAGAAGUCCUUUAGCAUCUCUUUUAUUUUUGGCAAUAGGCCUUUUCCCACUUGCAACAUUCUUGGGGUGAAGGGGGUCAAUCGAAAAACUCUCAAGUUCCUCUAUUGGAACCACCUGGGAGUCGGGUUCAAUCACACGGGGGUCUAUCUCAUCAAUCAUGAAUGUUUCAAAGGCAUCUACCAUCUUGACGUCGUCUUGUCCGAGGCUAAGCUCACUUGGGACAUCCUCCAUUUUCAUGUCAACGAUUACUACAUUGACAUCCCGGGGCUCUGCCUUCCGAAUAUAAUUCAAGUAACACUCCCGUGCUCCUCUUUGGUCACCUUUCACCAUUACCAUCCCAUGUUCGGUGGAAAACUUUAUGCACAAAUGGUGGAUAAAAGUGAUGGCUCCCAAGCCUUUCAAGGUGAGUCUCCCUAGCACCCCAUGAUAAGCCCACAUGCUGUCUACCACCAAGAAUUUUAAUGAAGUUUAGGACCAUUUGAGGUGGUUCUCCCAUUUCCACUACCAGGGUGAUCUUCCCCCAUGGAGUAAUGCUAUCUCCAAUGAAUUUGUAUAGAGGGGUGUUCACGGGAUUAAGUUUAUGGUCUAAGAUCAUCUUGUCAAAUGUGGCUCCAAAAAGCAUGUUCAUGAAGUUACCAUUGUCCAAUAACAUCCGCUUAAGCCCGUUAAGAGCCACCACAGCUCUUACAACAAUGGCAUCUCAAUAGGAAAAGUGAACACCUUCUGCGUCCUCAUGGGUUAAACAAUAGGUGGUGUUAGAUUUUUUCGGGGAUUUUCAUCUACAAUGUAGCUGGCCAGUGGGAAGCCCUUAGCUUCUCCACCAACAAAUGGGCACUCAAAUAUUACAUCAAUCUCAUGGAUGGGGACAUCCUCUGCCUGAGCCUGUUGGCCUCUUCGCUAUUGCUGUCCUUCCCUAGGCCUCUCGACUUCUUGCUCCCUUCUCCGUCGAGGUGAUGUUUCCCGAUGACUUGACCACCUGGAGUGCUGGGCAAUGUGGGGGUAUUGGGCAAUGUCCCUACAAUCUACUGUAUUGUGGAUGUAACAGUAGUGAUACAAGAAAUAUUCAGGGGAUUCGACUUGCCUCUAGGUCCCCAACCUCAUCCCCAGCCUCUACCUAUACAAGGGGCUGCAGCGUAUUUUGAUUUUGCUGGGUGUCUGCCUCGGGAGCAACAUCCUCAUAAGCCAGUGUGGGUACCACUUUCAAAGUGGUGGUAGCAACUGCUUGUCCUGAAUUGGGGACUGUUUCAUUGGUGGCUUAGCUCAUCUGGUAGUCCAUCAGAUGGGAGGUCGGUCUCUUCCCGCAUCACCUUUGUUGGGGCUGGAGGCCUUGGCUGGCCCUAUUCCUAUGAUCAAUCAAUUUUUUGUUGAUGAUCUCUCACCUUAUCAUCUCAAGCAAUGCAUCAUAAGUGCUGGGGUCUUGAUUUUGUACAUUCCUCCAAAAUGAGGUGUUCAUGUUCAAGGCUCUUCGUAAUGCAGACAAGGCUUCAAGAUCAGUGACUUGGACGUAGUAUGUCAUCUCCUCCAUGAAACAUGACAAGAAGCUUUUCAGGGACUUUCCAAGCUAUUGCCUCAUGUCUUGCAGAUGUUGGAUGGGGGCCUCCCCUCUUUUGCUUACUAUGAACCUAUUCAAGAAAGUGCUUUUAAAUUUCAGCCAACUUCUGAUGCUUUUAGGUGGCAACCAACUAUACCAAAUCUUAGCCAAUCCGCUGAGGGUCAGAUGGGAGGCUCUACAUUUUACAAUUGGGGUAAUGCCUCUUAAGCUCAUAUAAGUCUUAUAAGCAUUCAUAUGUUUUGCCGGGUCACCUCUCCCAUUAUAUUUUAGUAUUUUUGGCAUCACGUAGUGGCUCGGUACUGGGGCACUUCUCAAUUCUUGUGAAAAGGGCAGGUUAUCAUUGUCAUCAUCCAAAUCACAAGAUCAUUGGUGUUCAUCUGAAUCAUAAUUCUCAUCGACCUCAUAUUGUAGUGGCGGGUAAGAUGGGUGAUGUGAUCCAGGAGACACAAGCAACAAAGUCAAGUCCAAGGUCGAGCCUGGGAAAGGAUCCGUUAAUAGUCGAAGGCGGGCCGAUGACGCAAGCGAGGAAGAAGCAAGUGAAAGAAGGUAUGGGAUUGCUCGUCAAGGCUACUAUUAAUGAAACUAUGUUCUAAAAGAGACAAGUUUGAUAUUGGAUCGAAGCCGAAGAGUGUUGGCUCAACGCGUUUCAAGCAGAAGAAAACGGAGUGAAGCUGCAUAACCAUGCAGUCACAUAACUUUAACGAGCUACAGUCGCAUAGCCACCUACCGAAGCCAAAGAGAGGGCUGACUUGAAGCCCAUGCGACCGCAUGGAUUUCUACCAUGCGGCCGCAUAGUUCAAAAAUCGGAAGAACAUGUUUCUUUUUCGCAUUUUUCCUAUUUUUGAAAGAAUUUUAUUAUUUCUAGACUUUUACCAUAUUUAGGAUAUUUUACAUGAUUUUUACCAUGUUUUAGGGUUCUGGUAUAAAUACUUUUUGUCAUUCAUUGUAAAACAGAACUUUUGACAUAUUGAAUACAAUUGAGAGACAUUAUUGCUUUCUUCCUUUCGUUCUUCGGUGAACAAUUCAUGAACUUAUCAAGAUUAAUUCUCGUGGCGCUCAAAUCAACUGGGUGAGAUUCAAUUAAUUUGUGUAAUCAAGAGGUCCGCACAUCGUUGACGAUUUCGGUUGCUUGGUUCCAAUUUCAUUGAGUUUAAUCCGAAACCUUGCUUUGGCUAUCUUGGGAUUUGAUUUCAAAUUUGUUGUAGGUUUGGUAGUGAUCGUGCUACGCGGGUUCACAUCAAUGGGCCUGCUUGAUUCUUCACCUCCUCGCCCCUCCUUUGAUGCGUAUUUCUAGGUACAACUCGGGGGCUAUAUACUUGACUUUCCUCCGGUUGUCGAGUCUCGGGAGAUAGGGACUGUGGUCUAGUUCUAGCCGUUGGGGUUGGUGAGGUUGGUGACUCAUUUCUGCUGGACUUAUCCUGUCAAACACACUACUAAACCUUCGGGGUCGUCUUUCUUGUUCAUAUUCUGGGGAAAAGUUAUCCUCUAUAUCAACUCCUACUUCCUUUUACAAGGGGUUGCUCUCCCUGCCAUGCCGUGAAGAUGUGGCUCUUUGACUUUGCACUUCAUCUUCUUAUUGAUAUUGCCCUGGUGGUACAUAGGGAGGCAUUGUGAAGCGUCCUCGACCUUGCACUUGCAUUAGUAGUUCAUGCGUGGCUAAGUUUUUGUUUGUGAUGUUCCUCAUAUUGGCUGCCAUGGUAGCUAUUUCUCUGGUGACUUAGGCUGCCAUCCUCAUACCACUUCAUCUAUGAUGGCAGUUGAGGCACUGUCGACUUGUUGGAGCAACUGAAGUGGGUGCUUCGUUGCAUCUCCCCUUACCCUCCUGGGGUUACAUCACCAUCUGAACACAUCUUUCCUUAAUAAAACCAAAAUUUUCCAACUUAUGGGGCUUCCUCUUAUUUUUUUUUCAAGAACUAAUGAUAAGUAUGUUUUUACACACUUAUUUGGUUCACAAACAUGACUUAAACAUGGAUAAAAUGGUUGAAAUGUGGCUUAAUCCUAUUAAAUUCAUGCAAUGUAGGUAUUUCAAUGGAAAUUGUGGAAUUCAGGAGAAAAGAGUCGAAGAAGGACCAAAACGCAACAAAGUGAUAGUUCGAGUACCAAAGGUGCAAAUAUUGAGAAGUUGAGCUAAAUGCAAAACGAGAGUAAAAACAUGCCAAGUAUGAGCUCAAUGACAAAGCAAAACAAUUGGAAGAAGAAAGUAUUGAAGAGGGACUGAAAUGAAGACAAUUGAAAGUUGGAGGACUAAAGCGCAAAUACUCAAAAGAUGUGCCGAAUGAGUGGCAUUAGAAUUAAUGGUGUCAAUCAUCAAUUGGAAGAUAAAAUUUGUUGAAAAGAUGAAGAAAUCGAAGAAAGAAGUCAAGAGAAGCAACAAGGAAGUUCAGGGACCAAAAUGUAAAAAACCACAUAGUUGGUUAUAUCUAUGCGACCGCAUAGUGUAACCAUCUAUGCGGUCGCAUAGAUGGAUGCAGGGAAAAUAUUGGGGCAUUUCAAAUGACCUAUGCGACCGCAUAGGUUCCUUCUAUGCGGUCGCAUAGAAGAAAUUUCGGGGGGUUUUCUGCAGUUUCCUUUUUCGACUCCAACUCUUUUUUUACCUAAUUUGGACACGCUAUAUAUACCCUAAAACACGUCCAGAACUAGGGUAGAUGAUUUUGGGAGAAAAGAGGCACACAAUAACAUCAAGAUCCAAGAAUUUAUGCAAGAAGAAGGAGGAUUUCAUCAAAAUUGAAGAUUUGAAGCAUCAAUUAUAAUAGGAUGAUGUCUUCUCCUUUAUUGAAUCCUUGUAAUUUUCUUCAAAACAUGAUAGGCUAAUUUUUUAUUUCAUUAGGAGUCGAUGAACCUUUGAUUUUCUUAUAAAUUCUUAUAUUUCAUGAGUUUAAUAUAAACUAUCUUUGGAAUAAAUUGUUUGAUUUAUAUUGCUUUGAUUGAAUCCAUGAUUUAUUGGUCAUUUAUUAUGUGAUUGUGAUGGUUUAUUCUUUACAUUCGAAAGAAGUAGAAUAGACUCGAUAUAUAUAAAUUGACAUAGGGUCCGAUAGGGGAUAGAAAUAUACCCCUAUGCUUUAUGCAAUUCGAUAAUUGUUCAUAGAAUUUCAUGCGUUUUUGUAUGUUGCAUCAUCCAUAGAAAUAUAGGCUGAUGAUAUGCAGAAAUAGAUCUAAUAUAUAUCGAGAGAGUAUAUUAGAUAGGCGUAGGAACAUUGAAUUGACAAUUUUUCAUUCAUUUAUUAGAUUUGUGAAAUUAGGGUUUAUAGAAAUCAAAUGGGGAUUCGAUGUCCCACUGAUUUUAUUUCAACUUAUUUCUACAAUUUCAUUUACUACAUUGCAUAUUUACAUUUUAAUUGAGUUGUUGAGUCAUUUAAUUAGUGAAAUUUCGAAAUUAGGGUUUUCUUCAAAAUUAGGGUUUUUAAUUGGGGGUUUCUUCCAAAAUUAGGGCUUUUCACAUUUAAACCAAAUUUUCAUUCAAUUAGAUUCGGUUAAGGUCACAUUAGUCUAAUUAGAGCUAAUUCAAUCCUCGUGGGAACGAUACUUGGACUCAUAGUCCAUUUUACUACUUGUUAACGAACCGUACACUUGACGUGAGUUUUAAAAUUGAAACAAAUAAAUACGCGAACAAGUUUUUGGCGCCGUUGCCGGGGAUUAAAUUUUAGAUUUAAUUCUAUCUUUUGUGACACUAAUUCGAACUUUUCAUUUCAGUACUUGUUAAUUUUAUUAGAUUUAUUUUAUUAUUGUUUAUAUUGAAUUUUUGUGUUAAUUCUGUCAUAUCAGGACUUGCAUGCAAGGAGCACCUGAUCAAGACUUGGUCCCUAUAGAUCCAGAGAUCGAACGCACAUUCCGUCACAGGCAAAGGGAAGCAAGAGUGGUACAACAAAUGGCUAACGAGCAAAAUCGACCGGGAAUUCCACUCAACGAAGGUUUGGCAGUGGAAGAGGAUGGAAAUACGGUACUUAGGGAUUUCAUGGCACCAUUGGUGGUGCAAAGUCAAUCUAGUAUUGUAUAUCCUCCAUUUGGGCAACCAAACUUCCAACUGAAGACAAACGUGAUUCAACUGUUUCAGAAUGGGCAUCAAUACCAUAGGAUGGCUAGUGAGAAUCCGUAUACACACAUAUCGUGAUUUCUUGAUAUGUGUCAACACUUCAGAUACCAAAGUGUCUCCGAUGAUGCUAUAAGACUGCGAUUGUUCCCGCACACCUUGAGGGAUAAAGUACUUGAAUGGCUGGAUUCACUCCCUGUCGGAAGCAUCACCACUUGGAACGAGCUAGCUCAUAAAUUCUGCACCAAGUUCUUCUCGCUAGCUAAAGUAGCUAAAAUGCGGCAUGACAUCUCAAUAUUCAACCAGAUCGAGUCAGAGUCAUUUGAAGAGGCGUGGAACCGUUUCAAGAACAUGUUAAGGAAGUGCGCGCAACAUGGCUUUGACAAGAAGACCCAGAUCAGAUUUUUCUACACUGGAUUACUCCCAUCAUUCAAGAGUAUGGUGGAUGCAUCAUCUGACGGGUCUAUCUCUACAAGAACAAUUGAUGGAGCCUGGGAGUUGUUUGAAAGGAUGGCUACAACUUCAGCUAUGUGGUCUACAGGUCGAGUAGUUCAGAAGAGAGCACCUGGGGUGUAUGAAGUAGAUACUUACUCAGCACUGUCCGCGAAAAUAGAUUCCUUAUUCCAUAAGGUUGAAAGCAUUUCACAAACCGCCACUACUAAGCAAGUUAUGAAGCAGAGUUGUGACGAAUGUGGAGCAGAUCACAAUACGGCUACUUGCCCAAUUCUGGCACAAGGAGUAGAACAUGCAGAAUUCGCACAAUGGGGUCAACGCCAGCAGAAUAACCCACAUUCAGAAACCUUCAAUCCAGGCUGGAGAAAACACCCAAAUUUCUCUUGGAGCAACCAGAAUCAAAAUAGACCACAAGGGCAAUAUCAGCAGCAAGACAAAAAGCCACAUUUGGAGGAUAUGUUCGAGAAAUUUAUGGCACACACCAAUCAGUACAUGGAAGCCAAUAACCAAUUUAUGCGAAGGACGGAAACAACGCUUCAAGAUCAAAGUGCAACGAUCAAGAACUUGGAGACACAAGUGGGACAGAUAACAAUUUCCAUGACGGGUAGAGCACCGGGAAACCUACCCAGCAAUACUGAAAUUAACCCUAAGGAACAUGCAAAGGCUAUAACAACCAGAAGUGGAGUACAACUGCCGGAACCACAUGUAACGAGUUCGGGAGCCAACAAGGAAUCAACGCCAACCUUGGAGGAAGAAAUUGUGGAGCAAACUGACAAUGCAACAGGAGAUGAGGUUGAGAGGAAUUUCAAGACAUCACAGGUUAAAAAUACUAAUCCUGUUAACCCUCAUGAGCCUCCUAUUCCGUUUUCACAAAGGUUGAGAAAGCACAAAAUGGAUCAGCAAUACAGUAAGUUCCUUGAAGUCUUCAAGAAACUGCAUAUCAACAUUCCAUUUGCUGAAGCACUUGUCCAAAUGCCGAGCUAUGCAAAAUUCCUGAAGGAUAUCCUCUCCAACAAGCGAAAAAUAGAAGAACGCGAAACAGUAAUGUUGACUGAGGAAUGCAGCGCCAGAAUCCAGAGAAAGCUACCCCCAAAACUGAAAGAUCCAGGGAGUUUUACUGUACCCUGCACUAUUGGAGACUGUUAUUUUGAUAAAGCUUUGUGUGAUUUGGGUGCAAAUAUUAAUCUAAUGCCUCUUUCUGUUUUCAGGAAACUCGGCUUGGGAGAAGCAAAAGCCACAACAAUAACAUUACAGUUAGCAGAUCGAUCCCUUACACAUCCAAGAGGAAUCAUUGAAGACGUGCUAGUAAAAGUGGAGAAGUUCAUAUUUCCAGCUGAUUUUCUUAUCUUGGACAUGGAAGAAGAUAAAGAUGUUCCACUCAUUUUGGGGCUACCUUUCUUAGCCACUGGGAGAGCAAUUGUAGAUGUUCAGAAGGGGCAGCUGAUAUUGAGGCUUGGUGACGAGCAAAUCUCAUUCAACGUGUUCAAAGCAAUGAAAUUCCCUACUGAGUCAGACAGUUGUUUCCAGAUAGAUGUAGUCGACCGAAUAGUUCAAGACACAUUUCGGCUACAUCAUCCUUCCGAUGCAUAUGAGGCAUGCAUUGCACAUUCACAAUCCACCCAUUCUGAAUCAAGUGAGAUUGGGACAUGUGCUCGGUUUUUGGAAAGCAACCAGCCAUAUAUACGCAGACGCUACUAUGAAGAGCUGGGAACUAGGACUGCAAAAUCAGUGCCAUCUAUUGUGAAACCCCCCCAAUUGGAACUCAAACAACUGCCACCACAUCUUCGAUAUGCGUACCUGGGGGAAUCUUCUACACUACCUGUUAUUAUUUCAAGCACUGUCAGUGAGGAAGAGGAAGAGAAACUACUUCGGGUGUUAAGAGAGAAUAAAACAGCUAUUGGAUGGUCGAUUGCAGAUAUAAAGGGGAUCAGCCCAUCUAUAUGCAUGCAUAAGAUACUCAUGGAGGAAAAAUUUAAACCAAGCAUUGAUGGGCAGCGGAGAUUGAAUCCACACAUGAAGGAAGUGGUUAGAGCUGAGGUAUUGAAGUUGCUCGAUGCAGGCAUUAUUUAUCCAAUAUCAGAUAGUGCAUGGAUCAGUGCGGUGCAAGUUGUUCCCAAGAAAGGAGGAAUCACAGUGAUAGAAAAUGAGAGAAAUGAGUUGAUUCCUAGAUGGACAGUGACUGGAUGGAGAGUUUGCAUUGACUACCGGAAGCUUAACUCAGCUACUCGAAAGGAUCACUUUCCAUUACCGUUCAUGAUCAGAUGUUGGAGAGAUUAGCAGGGCAUUCACACUACUGUUUCCUAGAUGGGUACUCCGGGUAUAAUCAGAUUCCAUUGGCACCAGACGAUCAGGAGAACACCACUUUCACUUGCCCCUAUGGCACCUUUGCAUACAGAAGGAUGCCAUUUGGAUUAUGCAACGCUCCCGCUACCUUUCAGCGGUGCAUGAUGGCUAUUUUCUCAGACAUGAUUGAGAAAUUCAUCAAGGUAUUCAUGGAUGACUUUUCUGUGUUUGGAACUUCAUUUGAUGAGUGCUUGGAGCAUCUAAGUCUUGUGCUACAACGGUGUACGGAGACCAACUUGGUGUUGAAUUGGGAGAAAUGUCACUUUAUGGUACAAGAAGGCAUCGUACUAGGGCACAAAAUUUUAGCAAAGGGUAUUGAAGUGGACAGGGCAAAGAUUCAGGUGACCGAGAAUUUACCACCACCUACCUCAGUAAAGGGUGUUCGCAGUUUUCUUGGGCACGCUGGAUUCUACAGAAAGUUUAUCAAGGAUUUUUCAAAAAUUACCAAACCUCUAUGCUGUUUACUGAUGAAGGAAUCCCCAUUUAAGUUUACUGAUGAGUGUCUGCAGGCCUUUAACACUUUGAAAGAGAAGUUGACUUCAGCACCUAUAAUUAUCACACCGGAUUUGAAUCACUUGAGGAGUCAAGAAGUCGCCCAAAAUCUCAUUUCCUUCAUUCAUUGUCUCUCCUUCAUUGGCUGGGAUAAUAGGAUUGUCCAGUUCAUUAGCCAUUUGCAACUGUGCUUCUCUAGUCUCUCUUUGCAGUCGAUGAAAAGUACGUUCAAUUUCAAGAUCAGUUGAAAACAAUUCUCCUUCAGUCGAUCUUGGCAUGCAACUCUGCGAGAAAACCAGUAGUAGCACUCAAAUUCAAACAAUUUGAAGAACUAUAAUAGAAAUAAAAUAAAAUAACCUAAACGAAAAUAAAUAAAAAAAUAAAAAUAAAAAUUUAAAGUUCGAAUUAGUGCCUAAAAAAUGAAAUUAAACUAAACUCAAUCCCCGGCAGCGGCGCCAAAAACUUGUUCACGAAAUAUUUUCUUUCGAUUUAAAUUACCGCAAGUGUACGGUUCGUUAACAAGUAAUAAAGUGGAUUCAAUGAGUCCGAGUAUCNNNNNNNNNNNNNNNNNNNNNNNNNNNNNNNNNNNNNNNNNNNNNNNNNNNNNNNNNNNNNNNNNNNNNNNNNNNNNNNNNNNNNNNNNNNNNNNNNNNNNNNNNNNNNNNNNNNNNNNNNNNNNNNNNNNNNNNNNNNNNNNNNNNNNNNNNNNNNNNNNNNNNNNNNNNNNNNNNNNNNNNNNNNNNNNNNNNNNNNNNNNNNNNNNNNNNNNNNNNNNNNNNNNNNNNNNNNNNNNNNNNNNNNNNNNNNNNNNNNNNNNNNNNNNNNNNNNNNNNNNNNNNNNNNNNNNNNNNNNNNNNNNNNNNNNNNNNNNNNNNNNNNNNNNNNNNNNNNNGAUUGUUGACUAAUCAAUGUUCCUAAGUCUAUCCAAUACUCUCUCUCGAGAUGUAUCAAACCUAUUUCUACAUACCACCGGCCUAUAUUUCUAUGACAAGUGCAUAUGUAAAAAUGCAUGUAGUUUUAUGAACACUUAAAGAUUCACGUAGGGCAUAGCGGUAUAUUUCUAUCCCCUAUCGGACCCUACGAUGAUUUAUAUUAUGUCGAAUCUAUUCCAAUUCUCUCGAAUGCAAGAAUAAAUCACCCAAACUCACACAAUUACGGGCCUUUAAUUGCGAAAACAAUAAAUGCAUAUAAAUCAUUCAAAACAAAAGAAAUAUGUUUUAAUGUCAAAUUGCAAAACUAGAAAUAUAAAACUCAAAUCACAUGGUACAUCGAUCUCCUAGCACAAGAAAAUCUAGUCUAACAUGAUGGGAAAUAAAGAAAAACAACAAUUAAAACCAAGGAAGAAUAUCACCCAAUUGAUUCUUGAAGUGAAAUCUUGAAAUGGAUUGCCUUGUUUUUGCCUCGUUCUUCCCCUCCAAAUCCUCCAAAAUUGCGUUUUUGUGCCUCCAAUUACGUUCUUCCUUUCUUCUGGACGUUCUUUCGUAUUUAAAUCGCGUGGAAAUUAGGUUACCAAAGGAGUUUCAAUCGUAUAAGGAAACUGCAAAAUGGCCACAUAGAGUAAACAAAAUUUGAGAAAAAGUUCUCGGGAGGAUUCUAUGCGACCGCAUAGAGUUUAUACUAUGCGACCGCAUAGGCAUACAUUCUUUCCGCCGGACAGCUUUUAGUAUUUUGGUCAUAACUUUCUCGUCUGAUCUCCAAUUGAAGUGAUUCAAAGUGAAUUGAGAAGAAAACUCAAAGAUCUACAUUUUUUAUAGAAAUAGACUUCCUCAAAUUUUGAAGUUUACUAUGCGAAAAAUAGAUCUCAAGUAGAUACUAAAAAUCACGAGCAUAGCUUUUUCGCCUGAAAGUUGAUACUUGAUAAUACUUCGACCCUAUUUCACCUCGUGACUCCUUUUCUCAUCCGAUUGACCUCUAACACUCUUGAAUCUUCAUUCCAUUUCCCGUCUCAUCUAUAAAUUAUUUGCAACUUGGUCCCCGAACUUUCAGUUUAAUUCAUUUUAGUCCCUUUGCAAUUCCUUCUUCUUCCAAUCAUCUUGUAUUGCUUUCGAGUUCAUACUUAGCAUAUUUGCAUUCCCGAGUUGUCUUUUAGUUCAACUUUCGAAUAUUUGCAUCCUUAGUCCCUGAACUAUCACUUUGCUCCAUUUUAGUCCUUUUUCGGCUCUCUUCUCCUGAAUUCCACUAUUUCCAUAGAAACACCUACACUGCAUGAAUUCAAUGAGAUUAAGUCACAAUUCAAUCAUUUUUUGCAACUGGCUUUUUCCACGGGAUUGCUCUUAGUUGUAGUAUGGUCUUCCACAGAUGGCACCAAUCUGUUGCCCUUGAAAAAAGCUGCCAACAGAUGUCAGGGCCCACUCGCGUCCAUGUGAGUUGGGUCUUACACGUAAAGACUGAUCAUCAGUCGGAUUUGCUCCAAGAAAGUAUGUGGGAGUGGCUCAACGACACGAGACGAUCACGUUCGGAUUCCAGCGAGAUAUUGACAUGAUGAUUGUAAAAUAAGAACCAAUCACACGUAACUUGAACAAUGUAAAGAUGAUAGAAAUUUGUGAUUUAUUGUAUAUAAACCGUUCAAGAGAGAAAUAUGUAUUGUUCCUUAAGCUUGAGUUAUGGUUUUUGUAUUUGAAGUGGCAUUACCCUAUUCCAGCACAACGUGGGUCCAUUUAUAGUAUUACAAAUUAAUUGGUGGCCCUCGGAUCAGAAUACACGUGGUCUCAUCUCAUCAACCAACAUAUUUAAUCCUAGCUAUCACUUUGACUAGUGCAUUAAAUGUUUUUACACUUUGUAGCCACCCUAUUGACAAGACAAGACACUAAUAUUCAUAACAAAGCUCAAUUCAAUCAUUCCAAAGGAUCUCAUACAUAAAUGUAGGAUCUUAUCAUGCAAGCUGUCACUUUGUCAAUGCCACGUAGCCUCAAAACAGGGCCUCAUCACUUCGGACACUCCUCCAUGUUGAUCCUCUUGUCUUCGUCGUUGUUUCUUCCUAGGUGGCAGAGCAUCAAGGGCCUAAAAAAACUACCCAGGGCCUCGUCACCUACAUAGGAAGCUUCGGCAAGGGUGGGUCAAUAUGUACAACGGGUCAACCACGUGUGGCAAGGUGUAACAGGUCCAAUAUUCACUCUGUAGUUUCAACAUUUAUAAAACUUCAAUUCAGUAUUCCAAUAGUCAUUGAUUGGAAGGUAAAUAAAGUCAUGGCUUGAUGGGAACUUGGCUGUAUAAAGGGAUUUGAUCCCUAAGCUGAAGCACAACAAACACUAUAGAACAUGCACCAUCAAAUUCGGAGUGUCGGAGAGCUUAGAAGUGCCAGUACCUGGAACAAAAUGGGAGCAUCUGGAACAACAUCAAUGGUUGGAGGUAUACAUCUGAUCUGUGACUUUUCAUUUUUCUCGACCUAAUACUAUUUUGCAUCGAUUUUUGGUCUUACAUUUGGUAUCAGAGUGCCCCAUUACCUCUGCCUUGAGACUUUACAAGCAAUUUGGAAAAAUCAAUUUUCUCUAGCAGAAUUUUUUUAAAAAAUUAAAAUGCUAAUUUCUCCAUAAAAUCACUUUUCUAGCUACUGUAUAGUUUGUAAAUUUAGAUUUGCAUGGAGGAAAGGUUGAAUUUGACGGGAUCUAACUAAGUCGAUUUCAACCCUGCUAGAGGUUGAAGAUGACAUUAUUGGAGACUGUUAUUUUCAAGUGCAUGUUUUUUUUCCCCUUUUUGUAGCCAGUGGUGUUUUUAUUUGUUGGGCCUUCUAAUUAUUUCCAUAUACAAAGGCCAUCUCAUUAUUUACUAGGCUUCAAUUCCGUAUAUAGUGACUUUAAAAUGACAAGUAUAUGUUUAUAGGGCCAUUUUGGAAAUAAUAAAUAUUUUUUUAAGGGAAGAAUUCAAAAGUCAAGGGUUAAGUAUGGCCAAUUCAAAUAUUAGGCCUUAAGUUUAAAAAUGCAAAAAUCAAGUAUUUAUUAAUUAAUUAAAAAUAUUUCAUUAAUUAAAAUAUAUUAAGGUCACAAUUGUACAAUUAAUGGUCACAUAUAUAUAAUUAUAGCUCACAACUUAUUUAUUGGUCACAUAUUAUCAUAUUAAUUGGUUGCGGAUUAUGUCAAGAUCACAAAUAAAAAAACUUUAUAGGUCACAAAGUAUGUCGAGGUCACAGUUUAUUUUAUUGGUCACAAAUCAAAAAAAAAUAGGUCACCUAUCAAUCACUUAUUUUCAAAUUUGUUGAUCACGGAUUAUUUUUUUAAUCACAAAUUAUCGAAUUUUCAAGUUACAAUGAAAUAAUUGGUCACUAGUAACCAAAUAAGUGCUUACAGAUCAUCCACAUACCACCGCCACUUGUGACCUCCAACACUAUCGCCGCCAACAAACACCACCACUGCACACAGAGCCACUGUCAAACACCACCCACCGCACACUAAAAAUUAUAUUCUCACUAAAAAUUUUAUUGACUACACAACAUUUAACUACAAUAAACAUUUAUAGCCCUUGUUUGAGCCCCAUUUUUGUGGAGAAAAUGAAUUUUUGAAUAGUGUAUUGAUGGGAAAUGUGUGGUUAAAAAAUAAAGAAAAUUUUUUGAUUUGCGUAUAUAUUAUUUUAUUGAAAAAUAUGUGGUUGAAAUGUUGUCAAAUCACUGUUGAAGAAUGUAUUUUGGUGAAAAAUGGGGCUCAAACAAGGACAUAAUCUUUGCUCAUUUUUACACUGAAGUCCUCAAUUAUUUUUCACUAUAUUCUUAUCAUUAUAUGAAACUAAAUAAAUUAUUAUAACAUUAUAAUAUGUGUUGAAAUUUUAAAUCAUCCACACUCAGUAUUAACAGAUUAGAAAUUUCAAUAUACAGAGAGAACGUACGAUAAAGGGAGAUGGAGAUAGUCUAUUGUAAGUACGUUUUCCUGCCAAUGGAGGGCAUGUCAAAGGAAUUGAGAUAUGACUAUUUUUUAAUUAAUAAUUAAUGUAAAUAAACAAGAGAAGAGAUGCAGGGUUGCUUUGUAUUAGUACGUAUACUAUAUAAUAAAUAUAAUUAAGAUCAUUAUAGCUAUAAAAAAUCAACAUUUCUCAUUCUAGAAUUGUUAUCAAUGAAAGCAAUUUGUUGUGGGCUAAAACUUCUCAAAACUCAACAAUAGCCUAGAUAAAGUUUAUGUAUGUGAAUUUAUUCAUGUUGGGCAUUGGAGUUUUGGAGAAGUGAAUUUGCAUGAGAAAAAUUCUAAAAAAACAAAAUAAAUAAUAAUAAUAAUAAUAAUAAUAAUAAUAAUAAUAAUAAUAAUAAUAAUAAUAAUAAUAAUAAUAAUAAUAAUGCCCAUGGUUGUUUUAGUUUGUGACGAAAUUUUUUAUAAUGUUAAAAAAAUAAUGUAAUUCUUUUUUCUCUCUAUUUUUAUUUUUAAUUCUUUUAGCAAUGUCAAUCUAAUGACGAACAUUAGUUACAAGUUGAUUACUGUUGUGAAUUUAUUUUAUUAUUAUUAUUUUUUUGAUUUGUUAAGUUUGGUUCGCAUUUAAAUAUAAUUUCUAAUAUCACGGAUUUAAUGGUAUGAAAUUUCUAUUUUAGAUUUAUAUAUGAAAAAAUCUAUGCCCCCUAACCAAUAGGGGGCGCACGUUGGUAACAGGUUGGUGACAACCUUGUCACCAUAGCAUGCCCAUUUAUCGAUUACCACGAAUUAUUUUAAUUGUAGAUAUACAUCCAUUUGAGGCGCCCUAAGCACAUGGCAGCCCGACAGUAAUACUGUCUCAUCAUAUUCAUGCAAAUAUGCAUUAAUUUUUUAAUUCAUAUGUAUGAAUUUGUGGAACCAUUUUUGGCUAGACAUAUAUAUGACAUGUCUCUUUCUGCCAUUGUGACUCAUAUUUGGCUUGACGGUUUAUAUUUUUAGUAUUUUAAAUUUUAUGGUUUUUAUUUAGUUGUUUUAUUAUUUAUUAAACUAUGAUUUAAUAAUUACUCUUAGGAGAAAUGAGGGGACAUUAGCAUAAGUGCAAUUAUAUUGAACUUUGGCAAUUAGAAUUUGUUGAAACUUGAACAAUAGCUAUUUUGUAUUGAUUUUUGACUGAUUUUUAUACUAAAUAAAAUCAUUUGAGAUUUUUUUUUAUUUAUCCAUUUUUUGGUAAUAAAUAAAUUUUGAUGUGUUAAUUAUAAUUAGCAUAAGUCGCUGCAUCAUACUCGUAUUUGAGUACAUUCACAAUCUUGAUAAAGACGUGUUGUUUGAUAUGUCUUGCUAUAUGAUUUUUUUCAAUGUUAAUAAAUAAAUUACUAAACUAACAUAUCAAUGAAAUUUUAUUUUUUUUUGUAUGCCCAAAACAUCACAGAUGAAUACAUCAUCAUCGAAAACACUAACAGACUCGAUGUCUGAUUUAAAUAAGCAAAAUGAAUAAGAUCGUCAACUUAAUUUAAAAAGUAUUAACUUUUUUCAUUCUGUUAAUUGUUAAUAUAUAUUUUGUUAUCAUAUCCCAAACAAAGAUUGCGAUUAUAUCUUUAUAAGACAACUUAAUGCAUUUGAAGAAGUGGAUUAUAAAAGUAUCCGUACUUCGAAAAGAUUCCAUUGAGAUGUACCUCAAUAAAAAUGGCUCUGUUGAAGUUUAAAAACUAAUUUUGUGUGAUGCAGAUGAUUAUAUAAUGUCAGAAUUAACCAAUAUUUUUCUUAUAGAAGUUACGCUAUUAGACCAACGGGUUAUUUUUUUAUAAUUUUUUCAGAGAAGUAACUUUCAAGCUAUAUUUUUUAAGAACACAAUCAAAAAGUUAUUUCCCAUGUUUGAAAAAGGAAAAACAUAUUGAUUUUGAAAUGAAAAAAAUAUGAGCAAUCAAUACUUAUUCAACAUUUUCACAUUAUAUACAUUGUUGCGUGUUAUCACACCUGUUCUACCCACCUGGGCCAAUGGCCCACUCAUCUUGGUCCACGUGGCAUUCCUGCCGAGGUGGGUUAUAUCCGAAGUGCUUCAAGCCGAGGUCCAUCCGCCGAGGCUCCUCGAUCCGAUGUACUCUGUCGAAGUCCAACUACCGAGCCCCAUGACCCGAAGCAUGGAACCUAUUGAAUUUAGCUGAGGUCCUCAAGUGGAAGUUUUUGUCAUAUGGUCGAAACCCCGAAGCUGAUGCACGAGCCUCUUAACCACAAGGAGCUUCCUCCACAGUCACUUCUCCCAAGAGAUCGCCUGCUCAGAGAUCUUAUUCGAAUGACUGAUGGAACGUUUAUCACAAGCAUAAAGGUCAAGUCUUGUCACUAGUAUGGAGGACCUGCGCAAGCAAUAAAUGCGCCACAAGCUAGCAAGUCAAGCCCCAUAUGUAAGAAAAGACGUUUGAACUAAAGAGAUGAGGUCACGUGCCACUUCAUCCAAGAGCUCCCAUUUCAUAUGUAUCACUAUAAAUACUUCCAUUGUGUAAUGUCAAAGGCUAAUGUAAGAAUCAAUACUAAAGACUACAUUUACUCAACUCUCUCUCAUUUACUUGCAAUACACAAAUCGAGUUUAUACACUUUUACAUAUACAUUCACAAGCACUGGUUGGUAAUUAUUGUACAAUCGGAUUAUGAACAACCCACCGGAUUCCGAACGUCACCGUCCCGCGUCGUUGGGCUACUCUCACGCCCCUUUGAACCGCUCAUUUUAGACUGUCCACGUGUCUUAACGUGUUGGACAUUCGCCCACGCAAGCGCGGGUGGGACCGACAUCUGUUGACGCACUUUUUGGGGUCAACAGAUUGGCGCCGUCUGUGGGAAACCAUACCAUAACCACGAGCAACCUUGUGGUAGAAGCUUACUGAAAAACAUUUGGGCAACCCCCCUUGAAAAAGGAUUUGUUCUUGAAAAAGAACAGGAGGAACCCCUAUCACUUAGAGAAAUCUAAGUUUGAUAAAAGAAAAAUGAGUUCUAACGAAGAUACUCCCUCAAGGAGGGUAAGAGAAAGCACGAAUGUGCCUCCCCAACCUGCUGCCCCAGCAGCUCGGUCGAAGCUCCACCACCACCAAAGGAGAGGUGGGAUGCUUGCGACAGCACGACUAUCAAGAGAAAUGGCUGCCAUGGCAGCCAACAUGAGGGAUAUAGCCAACCAAAACUUGGCCAUGAGGGAGUUCAUGGUCCAAAUGCAAGGCCAGGGACGCUUCCCCAUUCCUCCAUACGCCCCCCGCGGACACUAUCAGCAAGAGGACGAGGUCCAAAGUCAUAGGGCUACCUCGUCAGACUAUGGCCGAGGUGAAAGCUCGUUCGAGAGGGAAGUGGGAGUCUACAUUUCCUUCAACUUUGCAUCUGGCUUACCCACCGAGGUCCAAAUGAGCCAUAAUGACAUCCCACCUCCAUAUGAGCAAGACCCAAGACAUAGGAGAGCAUGAAGUGUUUUUGACAGAAUCAGCCCUGCCGUACCGAGGCCCAGUCAACAGCAGUCUCAGCAGCCUCGGACGAGGCCACAGCCUCCACCUCCGAUGCCCCAUCAGUCGGAGAGAAGGCAUGAAAAUGCCCCCCGCGCUAUCCCACCUAGAAGUAGGCCAUAGAGGAGGGAGGAAGAGGCUAGGAACCGGUCCGGACCCUCUAACCAACAACCAAGGUACAAGGCCGAUGACUAUGAUUCUGACGAGCAGCAGAGGUCCUGUGACUUGGACGAUGAUGAUGAGAACCUGCCAUUCUCAAGAGAACUAAGAAAUGCCCAGGUCCCGAGCCACUACGUCAUGCUAAAAUUACCAAAGUAUGAUGGAAGUGGUGACCCUGAAAAGCACCUCAAUACUUACAAAACUCACAUGAGCCUGAGGGGCGCCACCCCAGUCGUGAAGUGCAGAGCAUUCCAUUUAACCCUCGGUGGAGCGGCUGAAAUCUGGUAUAGUAGGCUACCAUCUGGGAGCAUCCAAAGCUGGCCUGAGUUCGAGACAAUCUUCUUGAAGAGGUUUGCAGUGAGCAAGGAAGGGGAGGCCCCCAUCCAGCGUCUUCAAGACAUAAGAUAGGCGCAUGGCGAGUCCUUGAAAAGCUUCCUAUCCCGAUUCACCGACAAGAUGACCUACUGCGUACAAGUCACCGACAGAGAAGCACUAUCUGCAUUGAGAGGAGGCUUGAACAUGAACACUCUAUUCUGGAGGGAUGUGCAGAAUCAAGACCCCACCACCUAUGACGCCCUACUAGAGAUGAUGAGAAGGGAGAUAAUCAAUGAAGAAUUGAUUGAGCAUAGGAACAGGGCAAGCAGAGGCCUCCCACCUCCUCAAAGACAGCGAGGUAGGGGUCCGACCUCCCACCUCAUGGACUACCAGAUGAACCGAGCCGAAAAUGAGAACUCCGGCCAAGCUCUGGCCACCACAACUCUGAACGUGGUUCCAACCUUGGCAUAUGAGGAUGUCAACCCAACUGCUGACCCACAUCAGAUGGAGGCCGAGCAGGGACCCCGAAGAGGAAGAGGCCGGGAUCGAGGUUUUGCACCUAGAAAUAGGUCCAAUCCAAACCUCCCUGGAUACUGUUUGCACCACAGGUCCUACGGGCACGACACUACGGAUUGUAGAGACUAUACACACCGCUCCCGACAGGAACCCGCCAGAAAGACAUAACUCGCCCCAGGCGAACAGGCCCCCGUCCAGGCAAGACAACCGACAUGGGCAUGAGGCGGCCGCUCCUCGUCAAAGGGAUGUAUCCCCAAGGCGAAGAGAGCAAGACACAGAGAGGCCCAGGGAAGGCUGUAGACACCGAAAAAAUAGGCAAGUUCAAGAUGAGGCCCCUAUCCACGAGAUAGAUACCAUAUUUGGAGGCCCUUAUGUUGGCGGUGAAACACGAAAUGCCAAAAGAAACUAUGCUAGGGAGGCUAAGCACCCCCCUCUGACGAGUUACAUUGUGGACAAUAACUCUCGAAGAAACCAAGUACCAUCCAUUGUCUUCACCCGGGAAGACGCCGAAGGAGUUCAUUACCCCCACUGCGAUGCACUGGUGGUGAGGGCUGUCAUAGCCCGAAAUGGGCUCAAACGAAUGCUAGUCGACAACGGCAGCUCCGUCAACAUCCUAUUCGGGUCCGCCUUUGACAAGAUGAUAUUGGACCAUCAGUUGACGCCCACUACCACUCCAUUGUACGGAUUUACCGGAGAUAGCAUCACUCCGAGGGGAAAGAUAACACUGGCAGUGGAGAUGGGAGAGUCUCCUCAAACUACGAUGAACUUCAUGGAAUUCCUCGUAGUUGACAGCCGGUCGGCUUACCACGGAGUCUUAGGCAGACCGGCCCUAAAGGAAUUGGGAGCAGUCACCUCCAUCCACCACCUAUGCAUGAAAUUCCCAACAGAAAAUGGGGUGGCAACGGUGAGAGGCGACCAGAGAGGCUCGAGAGAGUGCUAUCUAAGCUCCAUUAAGAAGGUAGAGCCCCGGGACGUCCACGUGGUCAUGGCUGAUGUGGUUAUGGCGGAUGUCCUAGGUGACACUCCCACUGACCAGGAAGAUGUUGAUAUGAUUGACGCACCACUUAAUCAGGAGGUGCUGAUAGUUGAUGAGAUCGACCCCCGCAUAAUGGAACAUGAGCCUCAAGCAUCCCCUGUAGAGGAACUUGAGAGCUUCUCAGCCGAUCUCCGAGAUCCGUCCAAGGUGUUGAAAGUAGGCAGAGGCCUAUCCAACAUUUUGAGAGAAAAGAUUAAGGACUUCCUAGGCAAGAACCUUGACAUCUUUGCUUGGAGGCAUGAGGACAUGGUGGGCAUAGACCCCAAGAUCAGCUGCCACCACUUGAAAAUUGAUCCUAAUGUUGCCCCGUAUAGACAAAAAAGGAGAGCCCUCAACCCUAAGAGGUAUGAGGCCCUAAAGGAAGAGGUUCAAAAGCUCAUCCAAAAUGGCUUCAUCAGGGAGGCCACCUAUCCGAGGUGGGUCUCCAACCCGGUCUUGGUUAAGAAACACAAUGGCAAAUGGAAGGUAUGUAUCGACUUUACCAACCUCAAUAGAGCUUGCCCGAAAGACAGCUUUCCGCUUCCAAGGAUCGACCAAUUGGUGGACUUCACGGCUGGGCACGAGUUGUUGAGCUUCAUGGAUGCAUACUCUGGCUACAACCAAAUCCCCAUGCACCCGGCCGAUGAAGAGCACACCUCUUUCAUCACGGACCGAGGCCUCUAUUGUUAUAGAAUGAUGCCCUUCGGGUUGAAAAAUGCCAGAGCAACCUACCAAAGACUCGUGAACAAAAUAUUUACCAACCUCAUUGGCAAGACAAUGGAAGUCUACGUGGAUGACAUGCUAGUGAAGAGCUUAGAAGCAGAGAACCACAUAGCGCACCUCAACAACACCUUCCAAAUCCUGAGAAGGUACAGGAUGAGGCUCAACCCCUUGAAAUGUGCUUUUGGGGUGGCUUCCGACAAGUUCUUGGGGUACAUGGUCAACCAGCGAGGAAUUGAAGCAAACCCUGAGAAGAUUAAGGCUCUAUGCCAGAUGAGGUCCCCUCAAAAGCCAAAGGAGGUGCAAAGCUUAACUGGACGAGUGGCAGCACUUAGUCGCUUCGUCUCCAAAGCAACUGACAAGUGCCUCCCAUUUUUCAAAGUGCUCAAGGCUGGGAAGAAAUUCCAAUGGACUGAGGAAUGUGAAGAGGCCUUCCAAGGACUGAAAAGGCAUUUGGGGCAGGCCCCCCUCCUCUCUAAGCCGAAGCCCGGCGACAUCUUGCAACUAUAUCUUGCCGUCUCCAAUGAUGCCAUCAGUUCGGUUCUGAUUCGAGAAGAAGGGUCCACCCAACUUCCCGUCUACUAUACGAGUAAAGCGCUCCUAUCGCCGAAGACUCGAUACCCCGAUAUGGAGAAGCUUGCUUUGGCCUUAAUCACGGCCUCUAAGAAAUUGAGACCUUACUUCCAAGCUCAUACCAUCCAUGUACUUACAAAUUUUCCCCUGAGGUAAGUACUCCAAAAGCCCGAUGCCUCAGGAAGAUUGUUGAAAUGGGCUGUGGAACUAAGUGAAUUUGACCUUAUGUUCAAAGCUAGGGCAGCCAUCAAAGGGCAAGCCUUAGCUGACUUUGUUGCUGAAUUCGUCAACCUUCCCGAGGUGGAUGAAAUCAUGGAAUUCGCCGAACCCCCCAUGUGGAGCCUCUUCGUCGAUGGCUCAGCUGGGGAGGUCGGCUCAGGUGCCCGGGUUGUCCUCAUCAACCCCGAGGGUCACAAACUCACCUCGGUCGUGAGGUUCGGAUUCAAAGCCACCAACAAUGUUGCAGAGUAUGAAGCACUCCUUGCAGGCCUCAGACAGCUGGUUGUUAGCCAAGUCAAUGGUAACUUCUCAGCCAAAGACAAAACGAUGGCCUCCUAUCUGAAAAUGGUGAUGAACCUCAUCCCAUCCUCUGAAAAGUUCGAGUUAACCCAGAUUCCCCGCAUCGAAAAUGCUCAUGCGGAUGCACUCUCAAAGCUGGCUAGUAGCAAAGACUCAGAGCUACUCACUGUGGUGCCUAUCGAGCACCUCCUCCUGCCUUCUACCGAGGCCCCUAAUGUCAUGUGGGUCGGUGGGACUCCCACCUGGAUGCAACCAAUCAUAGCAUAUCUGAAAGACCAGGUGCUGCCCACCAACAACAAUGAGGCUUAUAAGCUGAGAAGGAGGUCAGCCCACUUCCUCUUCAUUGAUGACAUUUUCUAUAAGAGAAGCUUCUUCUCUCCACUCUUACGAUGCAUCGGAGGAGAAGAGGCUACCUACAUACUAAGAGAAGUCCACGAGGGAGUGUGCGGCAACCACUCUGGAGGCCUAUCUCUGGCACAAAAAAUACUAAGGCAAGGGUACUACUGGCCUACCCUGAAACGGGAUGCCCUCAAAUUCGUGCGAAAAUGUGAUAAAUGCCAAUGAUUCUCUCCCGUACAAAGACGACCAUCACAGGAUUUGACUGCAGUCUCCAACCCCUGGCCUUUCUCAAAGUGGGGUGUGGACCUCAUAGGCCCUCUACCUAAGAGUAGAGGAGGUGCAAGUUUUGCAAUAGUGGCCAUUGAUUACUUCACAAAGUGGGUCGAAGCUGAACCACUGGCAAAAAUCACAGAAGCAAACACUUCCAAGUUCCUAUGGAAGAAUAUUAUUUGCGGGCUCGGAAUUCCCUACUCGAUCGUCUCAGACAAUGGCAGGCAAUUCGAUAACAAGAAGGUUAGAGAACUGUGUGAAGAGCUAGGCAUAAAGAAGCACUUCUCUACACCUCACCACCCACAAGCUAAUGGCCAAGUUGAAGCCGUAAACAAGGCAAUCAAGCACGUCCUGAAAAGGAAGCUUGAUGUAUCCAAGGGAGCUUGGGUUGAUGAGCUGCCCCAAGUACUUUAGGCAAUCCGAACCACCACCAGGACCCCAACUAGGGAAACCCUUUUCUCAUGGCAUUUGGGACUGAGGCGAUGAGCCCCGUGGAGGUGGGACUUCCAUCUCCACGACGUCUGCACUUCAGCGAAGUGACCAAUGACGAGCUCCGGAGGCUCGACCUCGAUUUCAUUGAGGAGAGAAGGGAUGACUCCUAGCUGAAGCUAGGUACCUAUCAAAGAAAGAUGACAAGGUACUUCAACUCCAAAGUCAAGAAGAAGUCGUUCCGAAUCAACGAUCUUGUGCUCAGGAGGGUCUUCUUAUCUUCAAAAGAACCUGGUUCCAGUUUCCUAGGCCCGAACUGGGAAGGUCCAUACAAGAUCAGAGAAGAAAUCCGACCUGAAACCUACUGGAUUGAAGACAUGGACGGCAAGGCACAACCCCGUCCAUGGAACAUUGAACACCUCAGAAUCUUUUAUCAAUGAAUUGUAUCAUGCUGGAUGACUUUCCCCAGCCUUUGUAAUAUUUCUAUGGCUCAAUAAAAUGCAUUGAUUAAAUCAACGUGUCAUACUGCACCAUCCACCAUGUCUGGGAUGCGUCGUCACCUCGGAGGAGAGGCUCGGGACCCACCUCUGGGCCACCUCGCUUGAACUCCGAGGCGCUAGCACAUGCCUCCAUUUGGCCCUGCUGAACACUAAGAGGAGAAGCCUCAACAUGGUUGCACCAUCCACCAUGUCUAGGAUGCAUCGUCACCUCGGAGGAGAGGCUCGGGACCCACCUCUGGGCCACCUCGCUUGAACUCCGAGGCGCUAGCACGUGCCUCCCUUUGGCCCUGCUGAACGCCAAGGGGAGAAGCCUCAACAUGGCUGCACCAUCCAUCAUGUCUGGGAUGCGUCGUCACCUCGGAGGAGAGGCUAGGGACCCACCUCUGGGCCACCUCGCUUGAACUCCGAGACGCUAGCACAUGCCUCCCUUUGGCCUUACUGAACGCCAAGGGGAAAAGCCACAACCGCUACAGUCCGAGGCUCACACAGUUCAGCUCCUUAAGUUAUGUUAAUGUGCUUAAGUUCGAGGCUCACACAGUUCAUCUCCUUAAGUUAUGUUAGCGUGCUUAAGUCCGAGGCUCACACAGUUCAUCUCCUUAAGUCAUGUUAAUUUGCUUAAGUCCGAGGUUCGCACAGUUCAGUCACUCAAGUUAUGUUCAUUUAUUUCAGUCCGAGGCUCACAAAGUUAUUUAGUUCAUGCUUUUAUCAAGUUCCAGUUCAUUUGUUUAACGAGGUAUAAAAACUUGGACAAAAAGCAACAAUGAAAGAAGAAAGACAUUAUAUUGAUAUUUCAAAGAAGGUUACAAAGGAGGGCCUCUGGCCAUUACAUCCAAAUUACUGAAAAGUAAAACCUAGUCUAUGCCUGGCUAGAUGACGGAGGUGCCUCUGCACUGGGGGCUUCGGCAACUUGGGCAUCAGUAGUUGUUUCCUCUGCCUCAGCACUUGGGGCUUCGGCAUCAACUUCUUCAUCACCCUGGACCUCCUCAGCUGGGGUCUGAGGUACCUCAUCCACAAAUUCGGACCUAAGUUGAGCCAGGUCCAAAUUGGGAUACAGCUCUUCUGCGCGCUCCAGCACUUCGGCAUAGGCGAAGUUCCUCCAGUGCGAGCUGAAGCUCUUAUACUCCUCUGUAGUGUGGAAAUUGGCGAUGUAUUCCUUCACCGCCUCCUCCCUUGUAGUUCGGGCCUCUUCUCGUGCAACCGAAGCGUCGUUCAUGUACCACUUCACCUGGCCUUCGAGAAACUGAUAAGCAUCUCGAGCACCAGCCAAAGAGAGAUUCGCCUUCUCAAGAGCAUCAGCAGUCACCUUUUGGUGCUCAUUGGAGACAUAUACCUUCUUUGUCAAGGAGGCCACCUCGCACUGUGACUCAUACACUUCCUUCUUUAAGGCCUCAGUCUGGGCCAGAGCAGACUCGAGUUUCGCCGCCUCUUCAACUUUCUGGACCUUGGCUUCUUCGGCCUUGGCCUUAGCAGCUUUCACCUCCUCUGCAAGGGAGGCUGCCUUCCCCUCCAAGGCCUGGGUCCUUGUCUGAAAUUCACUCAAGGCCUCCCUGCAUUCGAGCGUGAGGCCAAAGGUCCGGACGCUCUGGCUCACCAGUGCCCUUGUCAAGUCGGUGGCAUCGCAAGACGAGGCAUGCAGCUGCCACCUCUCCGACCAGAACUUGUAAAAGCUCUCGAUGGCACUUCUGAUUUCUUCAGGGAGAGCCUCUACCAAGGCUGGGGCCAGCUCCUCCUCCCUCCCAGCUAGGAAGCUCGGAGACUUCCCCUUCUCCCGAACCGACUUCUCCUUUACUGCCUCCUCCUCGGCAGCUUCUGCAGCUCACCUUGCGGCCUCUGCUCUAGCCUCUUCAGCCUCUACCUCUCUAGCCAUCUCCAUUUUGAUGGCUUUGGAGGCUGCAGCAAGAAGCUUCGGCUCGCCAGUCUGUUCAGCCCUAUGGGACACUGAGGUCCUAAACUUUCCAGCUGAGCUGGAGAUGUGCACCAGCUUCCUCUUCUUAGUCUCCUCGGGGACUUUCUCCUUGCCCCGAGGCUCCUUCGGCUUCUCUGGCCUCUGAGGAGUCGCCUCCUCCGAAGCACUGGGAGUACAGUCCUUGGACAGGCACUCAACCCUACCUCGGACCUCCUUUGCCCCGUUGGACCCAGGCUUCAGGGGCCUCGCUUUCGCAGUAGACGUGGCCUUCAAGAUAGAAGCCAUGUCUGGAGCUGGGUACUCCCUCUUCUUGAAUUUAUCUGCACAACAGGUCAGAUCAGCAUCAGUAUAAAAAUAAUGGAUAGGAAAAAUUUAAGUGUUGGGGCUUCGUACCUCUAGAUGCCAUCAGUUCGAAGUCCAGAAAGUAUCUACUCCUAUCGAUCAGGUGAUCAAAGUGGCGAAGCUUCAGAGGCCUCUUGUAAAUGUCCUCUAUCACCUCGAAUUCCUCCCUGCUGAGCUCGAACCUCGUACUACUAUCUGCAAAGAAACCCCCAACAGUUAGACGAAUUCAUAUUCUGACUUCAAAAGACAAGCAGAGGUCGGGAGACUCACGAGCUUCGUAGUACUGGGUCGGCACUGUGCAUGAUAGGGCUUUGUCCCCCUCCACUGCCUGCCAUUUAUCUCGUACCCAGAACCAGGACUCCUUCCACCCCUUGAUAGAGGAAGGAAGUCCUACCACAAAGGGUGCAUGAGCCCCCCAAAGCGUGAGGUAGUACCACCCCCUUGACUCCUUCCUAAUUACUCGAGGCUGGAACAAGGUCAUGAACACAUGAAGAGGCAUGUCCUCCCCAAGUGACACUUCCUUCCACAGGAAGUACGAGCCGACCAGCUGGCUCCACCCAUUCGGCAGAUCCUGGGUCGGCGACAGCAUGAAUUUCCUAAGCACCGCCCUAAAGAAGGGGUGCAGAGGAAGACGCAUACCUGCCUUGAACAGGUAUUCACUCACGGCCACGCAGCCAGGCCUCGGAUAGCAGGCCCGCUCGUUCGGCUCGGGGACUAACAUUUCUAUGUAGUGGGGUACACUGUACCUCUCUCUAAGUUCCCCCAACCUCUUCCCCAUCAUAUUCGAAGGCACUCUAGAAGCCCCCCACUUCUGGGUAUAAUCUAUAGGCUCCUUGGCCAUGGCAUACCUAUCCACCUCAGACAUCCCCCCGUGACCGACCCCAUAGUCUAAAGACGCCACUGUAAUAAGCUCCCUACCCGAAGUGGACUCCAUUCUCUCAGUAAAAAGACAGUAACAAGGGUUUUUGUGCAAACAAUACCUAAGGGAAUUCGACACAAAUGGAGACUGGCCGGAAUUUAAUAUCACGGUCAACCUCGACGCCGGAAAAUUUGGAGAUUUGAGAGAGUUUCAGAGUGCAAAGUGUUCAAAAAUCCUGAAAAUUGGGAUUUUCUCGCCUUUUAUAAAGGUCCAAGACAAACCCCAGCCGUCAAAUCAAAUCUCAGUCAAUCCGAGCCCUCCAUUUCAGAUCCAAUCCGAGGCGUUGAAUUCAAACGGUUUUUAAAUCCUACGCUUCAGAUUUAUGCGUGCCUCCCACGCACCUCUCCAACGCGUCUGCUUCUAGAAGCGCCAGCUGCCCUCAUAAUUGCAUUUUUAAUUCGACGGCAGCAGCGCCUUGGAAGUCGUAACGGUUCAGCCACUUUUUCUCGAAAAUAAGCACAAAACAUCAAAUCAUUGGCACAGCAGCCAACGCACAAUCAUUACCAUUGGACCUCGGCAAGCCUCGCAGGUUCGGUUCCUCAACCACCUCGGCAAGUCUCGCAUUUUCGGUUCCUCAACCACCUCGGCUUCCUCUUCGCCAUUCAGCAAUCAAGCCUCGCAGAUUCGGUUCCUCAACCACCUCGGCUUUCUCUUCACCAUUCAGCAUCAAAGCCUCGCAGGUUCGGCUACUCAACCACCUCGGCUCAUCUUCAGAGUUCAAACACCUCGCCUACUUCAUCGCUCACCCACAGCAACACUUCUCAAACUCCAACCAUGAUAUAAAUAUCUACACUUGGACUUGGGGGACUAUUAUUUGGGGUUCAAAAAUUCUUUCAACUUUUACUCCAUUAAAGUCCACGCAUUACAUUAAUGAUUAUACUUGGAUUUGGGGGACUAUUGUUGUGUGUUGUCACACCUGUCCUACCCAUCUGGGCCAAUGGCCCACUCAUCCUGAUCCACGUGGCAUUCUUGCCGAGGUGGGUUAUAUCCGAAGUGCUUCAAGCCGAGGUCCAUCCGUCGAGGCUCCUCGAUCCGAUGUACUCUGCCGAAGUCCAACUACCGAGCCCCAUGACCCGAAGCAUGGAACCUAUUGAAUUUAGCUGAGGUCCUCGAGUGGAAGUUUUUGUCAUAUGGUCGAAGCCUCGAAGCUGAUGCACGAGCCUCUUAACCACAAGGAGCUUCCUCCACAGUCACUUCUCCCAAGAGAUCGCCUGCUCAGAGAUCUUAUUCGAAUGACUGAUGGAACGUUUAUCACAAGCAUAAAGGUCAAGUCUUGUCACUAGUAUGGAGGACUUGCGCAAGCAAUAAAUGCGCCGCAAGCUAGCAAGUCAAGCCCCAUACCUAAGAAAAGACGUUUGAACUAAAGAGAUGAGGCCACGUGCCACUUCAUUCAAGGGCUCCCAUUUCAUAUGUAUCACUAUAAAUACUUCCAUUGUGUAAUAUCAAAGGCUAAUGCAAGAAUCAAUGCUAAAGACUACAUUUACUCAACUCUCUCUCAUUUACUUGCAAUACACAAAUCGAGUUUAUACACUUUUACAUAUACAUUCACGAGCACCGGUUGGUAAUUAUUGUACAAUCGGAUUACGAACAACCCGUCGGAUUCCGAACGUCACCGUCCCGCGUCGUUGGGCUACUCCCACGCCCCUUUGAACCGCUCGUUUUAGACUGUCCACGUGUCUUAGCGUGUUGGACAUUCGCCCACGCAAGCGCGGGUGGGACCGACAUCUGUUGGCGCACUUUUUGGGGUCAACAUACAUUAUUUCAUAAAAACUUUUAUUCAUAUGUGUGUGUGUGUGUGUAUUUUAACAAUUUGAAUUUUUCCUUUAACAAUAUCAAUUACCUUAACUAUUUUAAAAAAAUAAUAUUAGUACUUCAAAAACAUUAUGAUAUCAUUCAUUCGAUACAUAAGACAUGCAAUACACGUGCUUAGUACAAGUAUAUUCUAAAAUAGAAUACCCAACUAAUUAUCAUUAACAGUGCAGGCGAACACAGGAUCAAAAGUAGUGGCAACAGAAAUUUUUAAAACUCAAUUGACUUAAAUUACGGCCAUUUUUGUGUCGGUAUAUUAUUCAACCUGGUGCUUCUGCUUAUAUAUUUUUCUGCAUUAACAAGUUAAAUGUACAAAAUUUUGGACACUUGAGUUGACUGAGAAUUGUGAGGUCAAUUGGGGAGACAAAUUGCCAUGUUCUUUUGAGUUUAUUAAUUCAAUUAACAUCACAUCUAAGUUGUAUUCAAGGUUAUUUGAAAGGACAAGAUAUAAUAGAUGUUGACUAUAAAUUGGAGGAAGAACCUCCAAGUAAAGGGAAUUUUUAUCAAAGUCAAUACGUCAAACCCCCUGUUAUUGACCCUGUAAAAAAUCUCUUGUACCUGUAUUGCUUCUCUAAAUUGGAAUAUUAUUUCUGACCAACAAACAAAUACAAUUAAUCUCCAAGUACAGGGGAUUGUUUUCACAGGGGCUUGUCAGGUCCCUCAUCAUAGCAGACGGGCCCCACAUGUAAUUAAAAAAAAAAUUGAUGGCCCGAUUGAGUGUGUGUCCUGACAGGUCCCUGUACUUGUAGUUUCAUUGAAACAAAUAUGUGGUCUUGAUUUAUUGAUAAUAUUUCUAAUUUGAUAAGGGUUUGUUUGGCCAUGUUUUUUUUUUUUUUUUUUUUUUUUUUUUUUUUUUUAAAUUUUUAGUAAAAGAGUUUCUUCCUCUAAAAAAUCUUCUAGCACUAUCUAAAAAAUUAUCCAGACAUAUUUUAAGAACUGUUUCUUAGCUUCACAGCAAUUUUUGAAUUUUCAAAAUUAUGUUAGACGGGCCCCUAAAUUAUCACGGGCUGCGGCGCAAAAGGGACAUUUCAACCAACUAUGAAGACAAGUAUCACUUUCAAUUCCACUUCACGAGGUUUUGAUUAUUAGCUUUUCAAUCCCGUUACAAUGAUCAAAUUUUUUUGACAUAAUGACUUACUAGUACUCACAAUGGGGGAAGCUUUUCUUUGGACUUUUUUAUGAAUCAUGCUACAUAAUCAUAGAGGAUGAUACUUCGGUUGACAUAGCACAUACACAUGGGGGAGGUCGGGAUUAUUUUAUUCAUGGGGACCCACACCUCGAUUGUGAGUUCUAUGUCACACAUUGUGUCAAAGUCUAUGUUUGUUUGGCUUAAUUCCUUUUUUAUUCACACGGGAACUGCGCUUAUGAGAGAGGAUGUCAAUCAUUAUGUUAAACAAAUUCGGUCAAAGUAGUUUAAUUCUUAGAGUUUACACCUCUACCUUUCCGAAACUUGCAAAAAUGUCCUUGAAGUUAAAAUAAAUAUUUGUUUUUUAUUUACCUUUGAAUACACGACAAAGAGAAGCCAGUGGGUAUAGUUAGGGCUGUAAGCAAAAAUCGCAAAAUCGAAAAAUCGAACCAAAACCGUAUUUUAGAAACCAUCGGUUUGGUGCCACGUGGACCCGGUCAACGAAAUGGUUUGACCCAAACCAAACCGGUCAAAAUGGUUUGGUUUAGGUUUGAGAAAUUUAAUUGCGGUUUAAAACCAAACCGGACCGGCGAAAAAAUAUAUAAAAAUAAAAAAAUGAAAUUUUUUGAAAAUUUAUUCAAAUAUGUAAAAUUCAAUAAUUUUGUCAUUUGUGGGUAUUUUUGUCAAUUUCUAAUUUUCUAAUACAGAUAUAUUAUUAUUAUCCAAUAAUCCUAAUAUAUAUCUAAUAAUUUCAAGACUAACAUAAUCUAUCAAAAGUCUUUUUCCUCCUUAGAAUUUAGAUGAACUCCAAUCGACUCCCAACACAGUCUUGAGUCAUCGGUACCACACACUUCUUUUUCAAAAUUUUCACAUCUUUUCAAAGUUGAAUUAAGUCCAUUAUACCAAAUCGGAGACAAAGAGAUUCUAGACUUUCGAUGAUAAUAUUUGCUACAAAUAAAGUUUCAGAUCAAUAAUUUUUUUGGAGCAAAUUAAGGUAAGAAUCUAAAAUUAAAUACGUUUCGUAACAUCAUACAAACGUAAAUUUGUGUAAUUGUUAUAUUUAGAUAUUAUAAACAAUUGCUUUAUUAUUGUGGUUGGUUAUUCUCUUUAUUUAAUUAGUAUCAUUUUUUCAGAUAUGAUAAUCACGAGGUCUUAUUAGACAUAAUUAUAUUUUUUGGGCAUUAUAUCUAGUUUAGUAGACUUUUAUUGUAACGUUAUUGUGUCAUCAUUAGCCUAAAAAGGUGAAAAAAAUGAAAAAAAAACUAUGUUUUAGUUUAUUGUGAUUUCACUUUGAUUUUGUUGGUAUUUAAAUUUAUAGUAGAUAUAUUUAGCUCAUGUUUGAACCAUAUUUUCCAUAUCAUCAUAAUGAGAAAAUUAACCGUUGGAGAGGAGGCUGGGUCCCACACAUGAAACAGCAGGUCAGCAAAGGCGACUGGACUUGUGGGAUAACGGUCCAAAUUUUCAUUUUUUUAUCCCAAAAAUUUGAUUCAAACAGGGGCUUAAUUUGUUUUCGAUUUAUUACUAGUAAGAUAUAAAUAUAUAUUGAAUUUAAUAAAUUAAUGACAUAAAAGCAGACGGACAAAAAAAUAUAUCGCGAAACCGGACCAAACCGUUAGGUUUAGGUUUGAGUUUUUUUUAAACCGUUCAAAAUGGUUUGGUUUAGGUUUGGGUUUUUCUCAAACCGUUUUAAACGGUUUUGUUUGAAAAUUUGUCAAAAACCAGUAAAAUCAGACCGCUUACACUCCUAGGUAUAGUGUUGGCAAGACGGCAUUUUUAAUUUUUACACCUUCAAUUUCUGCCUUGGUGGCCAAAGCUAAUCGAACAAAUAGAUUGACUUGAGAAACUUGACAGUAUGUCUAUCCGAAACAAAGCAAUUGUAAUUUGUAGGUGAAAGAAAAGGGAGAAUCUUCACAGACAAGCUGUCACCAAUAAAAAGUGUGACCCCCCGUUUGUCUUCCAUUAAUCAAAAAAUGAGAAUAAAAAAUAUAAUAAUUACGGACCCCACAUAAAAUAUAGAAAGUCAAAUAUGAUGGCUUAAUAUGAUGAGUAAAGAUCAUAUAUUUUUUAUUUUUGUGGCAAAAGAAUGGAAAUCAAACAAGAGCUUAUUCUAUUAAGAUUAUUUCGAUAGGAUUAUUUAUUUUUUUUAUCUUUUUUCAUUUUUUGGUUCAAAUCUUUCUAAAAAUUCUAAUUGAAAAGAAUCUUAUCUAGUUUGAACAUUCAUGUCCAUGGUCAAAACUUUCAAGACAUUUCACUUUCUUGCCAAAAAAUUCAUUGCCACGUUUUAUGAUGCUUUUAAAUAAGAGGGCUAUGUAUCUUGGAAAUUCACAUUGUUUUAGUUCCUCAUCAAGAAAAAGAAAAUAAAGUACCAAAUUGAAACAAUCUUGAAACUUGAGGGUUCAAUUAAUUCAAAUUGAAUAUGCUGAGAGUAGGUUAAGAUUGUUCAAAAAGAGUACAUAAAUUUCAAGAUUCAGACUGUUUGGUGUGUCGAUAGGCCCAAUUCUAAAACUUCAAAAAUAUCUCUUUUUCGUGAAAAUUCCAGUAUGUACGUAGAAUUUUGAUCCCUACAAGAAUGAACAAACUAAUACCUAAUACUAACAUCAUUAUUUGUUGAAAAGUGCUACAUGUACAUAAUUGUCUACAUAAUAAUAUUCAUGAUUACACGUGGUAUUGGAUCCAACCUUUAAUUCAAAUCUCACACUCGAACAUCAACAAUCGGAUGAUUGUUACAUCACAUUAUGAACACCAUUAUGUGCAAUAAUUAUGUACAGGUAGAAUUUUCCUUAUUUGGUCAUUAACUGUUACACCCAAAAUUGUAUGUACUUUCUCAUGGGAAAUUUCCAUGUUUUUAUAGUCUCUCUAGUACACACUUUACCCACAUUGACUGUGAGUAGUACAACAAUUAUCCCAAAUUUAUCGUACGUUAAGUCUCGAGACUUGUAUGUAACAAGAAUAUAUGUUCAUUGGAUCAUUGUUCAAUUCCCUGAAAGAAUGGCUCGGUAUAUUCUGAUUCUCGUGUUCACUCUACUCUUCCUCGUUGUCUCGCCUCCGCGCACGGCGGAGAUUCCAAUUCGCCAUCAGAGAAGCCCAACUUGAGAUCUCGGUCUCUGAUUCUGGUGAAAAUAUGGUGCCUGAUACUGGUGUUUGUUGAGACUUUUGUAGGGGGGAUUUCGCCCUACUUCAUGAUGUGGAACGAGGUUUUUUGGAAACUGUUUCGCGCGGGUUAGUCGCUAACAAUUAAAAAAGGAUCAGACGAUUGUGUAAGGGACAAACCUCUUAAAACAAAGUCCCAAAAAGAGGCGUUUUUAUUGGCGAUGAGUUUACAAUUGGAAAGUAAAAACAGAAUGCAUCCAAGAGGCGCAAGCACACGAGUUACUGUAAAAGAAGUGUUUAAAUCUAAACUAAAAAAUUGAAAGUUACAUAUUCUCUAUUUGAGAGUGUUUGAUUCGGGGUCCUUUGCUCUAUGUCUUUUCUUCCUUUUAUACUCCCUGGAUGAUUUCUUCGUGAUCGACCGCUUAAAAAACUGCUUGAUCGCUUUAUAACUGCCUACUUUCCUUGUAAUGGCCAACUUGUCAUGGAACUGCCUUCUCUAACUGCUGCCAUUACUUUUGUCGUUCAACCGUCUUCAAUUGAAUUUCUUGAAUCGUGGAACGUGAUAGGACUACCCAAUAACUGCUUCAUUAACUGCACUUUUGGGUGACCAUAACUUCUUAUGUUUGCUAAGAUGCUGGGCGACUUGAAUGUUUGGACAAGAGCAAAGUCACAGCUCUGGGCGACUGCAUGGCAAUUCAUUUGCUCAAAUCAUGGUAUUUCUGCGUUCAUGGGCUUCCUUAUUUGGACCUUUAUCCUACAUUGCCUGACUGGGUCGUUCUUUGGGCUAUUUGAUUUUGGGGAUCUUCUAAUUGGGCUUCAUUCCUUGGGCUAUUCAACUUGGGCUGAACUUUUUGUGUGUCAACAAUAACUGGGACGCAAUUCGCUGGUGGGGUUUUUUUUUUGGGGACUGCUUUGAUGCAUUUCUUGAGUGAUUCUAAUGAGACAUUUGGGGACUUGACUGAAAAAGAAUACCCAUUUGCAUUUAUGUUGGCGAGUGCUGGAUAUUUGUUAACUAUGUUGGCUGAUUCUGUUAUUUCUUAUGUUUAUGGGAAACAGAAGAACAAUUUUGAUCCUCAAAUCCAAGGUAUAUCAUUUUUAUCCUUUGUUUGUAUAGAAUGAUGUGAAGUAUAUGCAUUGGAUUCAUCAAAGAAACUUGAUUGUCAAUGCUAAAUUUUGUUUUAUAGAACAGUAAGAGGGGAAUUUGAAAAAUGCAUAAUUAGGCCCCAUUUGACAGGUUUUUUGAAAAAUUAAAAGAUGUUUCUUAUACUGAGAAACUGAUUUUGUGUGCCUUUCCAACAUAUUUAAAUAAUUAUUUUGGAAGUGCUUAUUUUGGUUAGAAGAGCUAUUAUGUGAAGUUGGCCUAAGCAAAAUCAAAAGCUUUGCCAGAGGGGCUCCAAUUUCCCCAACAAACAUGUAGAUACGAGAAGAAUUUGAUUGGCUUUUGAGCUAGGACCAUGCUACACAAACAUAAUGGUUGACAUGUGGGAUGAUCGAACACUCACACCUCAGGGGUCGGCAUUAUUUUAUUCACGCGGGGUCCACACUCCAUGCGAGGGUCGGUCACCCAUUUUCGAGCACUUCGGCAUUAUUCUUUGAGCUAAUAGAAAGUGUCCCACAUCACGAAAUUUAUGCUUUACGGCAAGAUUGUUGGCUACUUAAUGUUUUCCUUUCAAUAAGAUUCCAAGCGUGACAAUUAAAACAGAGGCAAAUUCAAUUUCCUUUACUAAGAACUAGAAGAACAUAAGAUCUUAGAUUGGUUUCCCUUGAUUUUACGAAUCAAGCUCGAGUAAGAGCAAUGUAUAGCUUUACAUAAUCCGACAACGGAUGUUUUAUCUAUAUUUCUUUCCCACUGCAGGUUCUCGCAAGGAAAAAGGCUCCGUUAACGGAAUACCUUCACACUCGCAGUUGCGGGUUAGUUAGCAGGACCUACACAUAUAUUCCUCAGUGGUUAAUCCAAGGUAUAUCAUUUUUAUCCUUUGUUUGUAUAGAAUGAUGUGAAGUUGUUUGUUUGGAUUCAUGUGAAGUAUAUGCAUUGGAUUCAUCAAAGAAACUUGAUAGAACAGUAAGAGGGGAAUUUGAAAAAUGCAUAAUUAGGCCCCAUUUGACAGGUUUUUUGAAAAAUUAAAAGAUGUUUCUUAUACUGAGAAACUGAUUUUGUGUGCCUUUCCAACAUAUUUAAAUAAUUAUUUUGGAAGUGCUUAUUUUGGUUAGAAGAGCUAUUAUGUGAAGUUGGCCUAAGCAAAAUCAAAAGCUUUGCCAGAGGGGCUCCAAUUUCCCCCAACAAACAUGUAGAUACGAGAAGAAUUUGAUUGGCUUUUGAGCUAGGACCAUGCUACACAAACAUAAUGGUUGACAUGUGGGAUGAUCGAACACUCACACCUCAGGGGUCGGCAUUAUUUUAUUCACGCGGGGUCCACACUCCAUGCGAGGGUCGGUCACCCAUUUUCGAGCACUUCGGCAUUAUUCUUUGAGCUAAUAGAAAGUGUCCCACAUCACGAAAUUUAUGCUUUACGGCAAGAUUGUUGGCUACUUAAUGUUUUCCUUUCAAUAAGAUUCCAAGCGUGACAAUUAAAACAGAGGCAAAUUCAAUUUCCUUUACUAAGAACUAGAAGAACAUAAGAUCUUAGAUUGGUUUCCCUUGAUUUUAUAAAUCAAGGUCGAGUAAGAACAAUGUAUAGCUUUACAUAAUCCAACAACGGAUGUUUUAUCUAUAUUUCUUUCCCACUGCAGGUUCUCGCAAGGAAAAAGGCUCCGUUAACGGAAUACCUUCACACUCGCAGUUGCGGGUUAGUUAGCAGGACCUACACAUAUAUUCCUCAGUGGUUUUCUCAAUGGAUUUUGAUAACAUUUUUCUGCAAUCCUCUAUUAGGUCAAGACCGAUACUAAAGAAAAUCUAGCUAAACAUUCCCUCACGAGUGCUACUUCACUCAGAGAUGACAUCUUGUUAAUUUUCGCACUGUGCUUUCAUUCGGUGUUUGAGGGCGUUGCGAUUGGAGUAGCCGAGACAAAGGCAGAUGCUAGGCGAGCCCUUUGGACCGUCUAUCUACACCAGAUAUUCGCCACAAUUGCAAUGGGGAUAGCUCUUCUUAGGAUGAUUCUGGAUCGUCCACUAUUAUCUUGUGUAGCUUAUGCUUUUGCAUUCGCCAUAUCAAGUCCUAUCGGCAUUGCCAUUGGAAUUAUAAUAGAUGCAACGACACAGGGAACUAUUACAGACUGGAUUUACGCGAUAUCUAUGGGUCUGGCUUGUGGGGUUUUCAUCUAUGUGUCGAUUAGCCAUUUACUGUCAAUGGGUUAUAAGCCUCAAAAAUCGGCGUCAAUCGAUAUGGCACACCGUAAGUUUCUGGUUGUGUUGUUCAGUAUUGGCGUGAUUGUCGUCAUAAUGAUUUGGGAUACUUAAGCUUCCUUUGAUGUUUCUUGAGUACAUGUAAACAUGAGUGAUAUGUAAUAUUAAAUCAAACACGGUUAAUUUCAAUUAGUUACUGUGAUAUUGAUAUUUACAAUGGAGCUCAUUGAACUUUCAUCCUUAUUGCAAAAGGAUCUCUGAACUUCAAUUUCAAGCAAUCAAGUCACUAAACUUUAAAUUCAAAAGAAAUCAUGGUACUAUCUUUAAAUUCUGUUAGUGUGCCUAAAGGAAUUCCACACAUGUACGAAAAUACUAAUGAAAUUGCUAAUGCGAUAAUGACAAGAAAAGCCAUCUCAUUUUACUUUUAUUUUUUUUUAAUUCAAUUUCAAUUUAAGAACAUAAAAUUAAAAUAAAAAAUAAGAUUUGAAGUGGAAUCCAGAAGUUGGGUUUUCUUUCUAUGCCCCCGUUUGAGCCACAUUAUUGUAAAAAUGAGAAUAAAAAAUAUAGUCGUUAUGGACCCCACAUAAGAGAUAAAAAGUCAAAUGUGGUGGCUUGAUAUGAAGGAUAACAAUCAUAUUUUUUAUUUUAAUGGAAAAAUAAUGGGGCUCAAACCGGCCCUAUAUAUUCUUUUUCGUUUCAGGAAUUUAGAACAAUAUAGUUCCACCCAUAAGAUGAAAGUUUGGUGACAAGAUACUACACACUUAAACAUGGAGGACUGCACGUGCAAUUAUCGUCUUCAAUAAUUGUAUAUUUGUAAAUUAAAAAAUGUUUCAUAAGAAAUGCUUAUUGUUAUUAUUUCCACCCUCAAUGAGUUCUGGAUAUAUGCGAGAUUUUGGGUAUCUCUCUCUCUCUCUCUCUCUCUCUCUCUCUCCAACACACACCAAAUUGAAACCCUGACUCUAGAGGGAGAAUGGCUUCAAUUUCAUUAUCCUCACUGUCGGCACCAUUUUCGACCUUACCCAAUUCCUCCAUUAGUAAUGGCAGACCCGAGUUUUCUGUUCUCUCUUUGCCUUCCCGAAUUUCCUCAAAGUUACAUGCCCUGAAACCCUCUCGAGUUUCCCCUUCCAGAACUUUUGCUGUUCCUGAAGUUUUGGAAUCCAAUG